rnacentral:lncRNA from 1 species
GUUCUAGUGCGGUACUCCGCAGACGAUUGACUCAAGACCGAGUCGGGUGGUUAGCCUUGUAAAGGUAGAUGAAACUUUAUGAUUAAAACGGUGAUUGACAAGAAUCUAAGAUAGAGGAAACCUUAGAUAUCGAAUGGAUGAGCUAUGGUUAGCAGAAUUGAAAGUAGUGUCAAAUGAACUACUAGUUGGUUGCAUAGUUGCAUUAUUGCAUGAUUUGCAUAUAGCAUUGCAUUAUUGCAUUCGUGAGGCAAAGCAUGGUUUUAUUAGUUGCAUAAUAAAGAUAUAUAUCUAUCUGUUUAUUGAACUAACUUGCAGUUGCCUCCCUUGGACCUAUUGGUCGAGCUCUUCCCUUGGGUGGCCGUACCCACUGGGAACCAUGGAGUUUGUUCUCACCCCACGUGGUUUUGGGGUUUUUACAGGUUCGCACGUGAGCGGCGCGGUGGCGCGAGGCGAGGGUGUAGCUCCAUAGUUAGCGCCCUACCACCGAGACCAGAGGUAGUGGUACCCUAAGUCGGCCUUACUUAGGGAUGUAAAGAAUGAAAGAAUCAAGUUGUAAUAAUUAUAUUAAAUCGGAUUGUAUUUGGAAGUUAAAUGUAAUAAGUAUUUGGGAUGUAAAAAUGUAUGAAUAUGAAUGAAUGUAAUAAUAUAGGAUGUGUUUAUAUUGUUUGAUACCUUCCAUUAUGCAAUCUUGAUUGAAAUGUGUUCCUGGUUGGAACUUCGCACAUUGUAUUGAUUGCUAUGCCUUGAACGUACAGGGGAGACUCUGUCCGCAGUUCAGGGGAAACCCUGUCCGUUCGGCGAUCUGUUGGCGGCGCCGCGACCCGGCCAAAUAGGCAGGCGGUCGCGGGGCGUGACAGUUUCGCAGACGAAACUCUUUUUUAGGAGGGAAGAAUGUAACACACUGGACUUUUGCAAAUUGCACGGUUCGAGUGUUUGAUUUGUGUUUCGAGCUUUUCCAUAUUUUCUGGAAGGUCGUAGACAGUGUUCCGACCUAUGGCUCGCAUCUCGAGAAUUGUGGUUUAAAAUCUUGCACCAAACCCAAAAAGAUGGAUUUUUGGUCAGCUCUCGGGUUUGCCUCAGCAGGGCUGUCUACCGGUACAUCCUUGAUGGUUGUACCGGAACAGAUUUUGUACCAGUACACCUUGAUGGUUGUACCGGUACAAAUGUGAUUUUUAGCCAACCCGAGCCUUGGGUUUGUGUGUUCGGGGGAUUUGUACCGGUACACUUUCCCGUGUACCGGUACACUUUCCCGUGUACCGGUACACUUUGCCAGACUUCAAACUGGCAGAUCUGCAGGGGUGUUUUGCCAUUGUUGCUUCUCUAUAUUAGUCCCCACGCCCCUUAGGGCCUUCCCUGAGCUGGGAACACAGGAGAUUGAGGUAGGGGAGCUUCUCACUUUCCCUCUAUGGAUUUUAUCUCCAUUUCUCUUGGAUUUUUGUUGUUUAACUCCUCUCUUUUCUUCUUGGUACAAAUUCCACUAUUGUUGAAGGCUUAGAGCUUGAAGAGGAGCUUGUUUGAGAGGAAAUCUUCAACCCUAGUUGGUUUGGAGCCUAGUUUGGAGCUUCUUAAGAGGUUAGAAACUUGUUUUCUCCUUUUAAUCCAUGAUUUAGUAGAUUUCUUGAGAUGAAACCCUAGAAUGGAAAUUUAGGGUUUGAAAUGGGGAAUUUUGAUCUAGGGCUUUUAGAGCUUGAUUGAUGAGUUUGGAACCUUGGUUUAGGUUGCAUUGGAAGGGUCUUAGCUCUCAUUUGGGUUUUAAAAGGGGCUUUUACACUAUAGAUAAGUUUUGGCCCUUUUGUUGAGUUAGUUAAUGUUUAACCAUUGGAUUGUUCGUAACGUUCGUUUAACUCUCCUUUUAUUACCUUUAGGGUGCUAGGAGAAUAGUGGGCAACUUCGUUCGGCGAAACGAAAGAGUUCGAAAUGUUUCCGGUAGGUUUGAUCUCACCGAAAUAGGUGAACUCCUCCCUAAACCCCUUAUUUGGUUUUAAGAUCCAAUUAAAUACUUUGUCAUGCUCAAAAUGACAUGCUAGGAUUUAUGAGGACACAUUACAUAUAUGCUAUGUAAAGUUAAUUAAUGCUCUAUGUAGUAGAGGCAUUUAUGUGAACUUGUGCAUGAAUUAGUUCUAGUGGGCGAUUUCUCUUUUAUGCAACCUUAGAAGACAUGUUAGAGCAUGAUUGACGGUGUGACCCUUGGGGGAUCUCGACUUAUGGGUUUGGUAAAGUGAUCAUCUUACAUGUUAAACAAGAUACUUGUGUAGACAAAGAAAUAGGACUUUGUGACCUAGUAAUUAACAAGGUGUUGACCUUGAGUUUAAUAGCAUAUCUACAAGACUUGGACUUCUGCAUGAAUGAGACUUAGCAAAUAUUUCCAUGAUAUACCACACUUGUUGUAGACAAGUAGUUGUGACAUGAUGACAUAGUACAUGUAAGAUCUAUAAGAAACCAAGUUGGGACAUUCAUUCUAGUUGAAUAAUUGUAUGUGGCGUUAAUUGAAUGGAAUUACUGCAUGAUAACUUAUUGCUCCAUAUAGUGGAGGUCUUGUUGGUAAUGUAAAUUCAUGACAUGCAUCAUGGACAUUGUAGUAUCAACGCAUAUGGCAUAAGAAAGUGACUAUCUUAGCUAUAGUGGAAUAGACUAAGUGUAAACUUUCAUUGAGACUUGAGCAAUAGUGAACUAUUCUAGAUAGGAUAAUGACAUGUGUUAUGUGAAUAUGAACUAGAGACUUUUACUUGACAUAGUAAAUAUAAACGUCAUGUAGUGACAUUCGGGUUAGUAAAUGAUAACCUUGACACUUGAUACUAUACUUGGACCUUUGGGAUCGUGCUACAUAUUCCAUAUUUUAGACAUGAGGACCGAGAGUUGGAUAUUAUUGAUCAUGCUUGCUUGCCAUUGUGCUCAUUCGCAUAUGCUUGUGAGGGUCGCUUCCCACAAGCCAGCACUCCGGAGAUAGCCUACGCGACACAAGCUCGUCCAUGCGGAAUUGGGGGCCAAAAUGGGAUGUUGACUACCGCAGGGCCAUUUUUGGCACGGCACAAGCCGGACUACACACGUGUAGAUCCAUGACGAGAAUUGAACUGUGAUACCAAAUGUGUAAUGAGAAAACUACUACUAGAAAGUGCAUCCUAGUUGGAUUUGUAGAUAUGCAUGAUAGUGCAUAGUGUGAGUGUGAACUUAUGUUAGUCAUUCUUGGCAUUGACAUUCUAGUGGUAGUAGAUUACACCUUUGUUGAUUGGCUUAUUGUAUGGUUAGAAUAGUAAUGAAAAGUAUCAUCCUUCAUUGUAAUAUUAUGAACAUAAUGGACAUGCAGGACAAUUAGUAUACAAUGGAUUAUGCAUGUAAACCGACAUUAACAUCUAGUUGAUCAAAUGACAAUAGAACCUCAUAUGCAUAAUAGUAUUUGUUUAGUAAAAGCAUGACUUUGAUGAACAUGUUUAAGUACAUGCCUUUCAUAUCUGUUUAUUAACUUACCAUUAUAGCAUGCUUAUGUUAGCCUAGUGGAGCAUUUCACUGAGAUCAGUAAUUGCCCACUGAGAACUAUUUUUAGGAUAGUUCUCACACCCCCCUAUUUUUGUUGUUGUUUUCAAAGCCAUCCGCAUCGGGAGUGGCUAGGGAUCGAGGCAAGGGGUUAGCGGCUAGCUAGAGCCCUACGGAGUUAUUUUAGUUGGACCCGAUGUCAUCUNCUAUGCCUGCUUGAGACCUAGUGGGUAGAUCGGUGGAGUCGGCGGCCGAACCCACUGGGAACUAUUCGUAGUUCUCACCCCCGUGUGGUUUUGGGGGUACAGGUACACAGGACAGCGGGCCUUCAUCGAUGGAUCGUGGUAAGGGCAUAGCGCCCUAGCUUUUGGUAGAUAGUUUACCUUGCCUACUUGCAUUAGCUCUAUACCCUGUACUUUUGGUUAUGCUUUGAGAGUAGAUGAUGUAUAGGGUGAGGUUUGGAGAGCAUAUGAUGUAUUUUCAUUUUGGAAAAAAGGAUGCAAGUUGUAUUAAAUACUUAAAGUUUAAAUGAUAUCGAAGAGGUUUAAUGUUUCAAUCAUGGUUUAAAUAGCUAAGUUUAUCUCUUUUGUAUACUUGUAUGGUUUUACUUAUAUCGCUUGCUCUAGUUGAUAGUAGCACUGCUUGUGCUCUCGUUUAUCGUUGUUUGAUUGUGUAUGUAUGCAAGUUGUUUUCCUGGGAACUUGUUGUACACAAUCUGUUGCUUAGCCUUGGGCGGACAGGGGAAACUCCGUCCGUUCGGCGGUCGCGCCGCCGCCCUCGAACCGGACCAAAUUGGUACCGUUUUCGGGCCGCGCGGUUGGGGCGUGACACUAGGUGCUUCGAUGACUUUCUUGAGAUUUUUGGACUCCUCAUUCUUCACCUGCGGCAAAACGAAGCAAUCUUAGGCCAUUUUGCCCAUAUCUUUACAUCGGCUUUUCGUAACGUUAAUCCGAGCGCACCAACGCGUCGGAAAUACCCCCAAUUAGGUUUUUGAAGGGUUAAUUUCACUUAGGAAUCCCCAUGAGCAAAAGCCCCAAUUUGGUGCCCUAGCUCCAUUACAUAUACAAAACCUAGGGUUUGAUCUCAUUGGGAAGCANUAGUUGUAUACUUUUGUAUCUCUAUUUGUGGAUCCCUUUAUGCUAGAACUUUAGUGAUUUUAUUAUACUCGCUCUGAUAGCCUUAUUAGGACUUCUAUGUUCAUUUCUUGUUUAGUAGACCCCUUGUGUGCAUCAUAUUUGUUGGUGUACACGGCGGGUCUGUGCACGCGCCGGCGGGCUUCUGCUGGGCCCGGGGCGUGACACCCGCUACCAAUUUGGUCCAGGUCGGGCGCGUCGAGCAGACGCCGAACGGACAGGACCUCCUCCGUCCGCCUAAGGCUAAACAACGAGAUCAUACAACAACAGCGAGAGCACAACCAGUGCUAAAUAAUCAAGAGCAAGUAUCACAAGUAGAGUAUAUACAAGUGAACAAAAGAGAGAUACUUAUCUAUUACAUUUAUGCAACUUUUAUACAUCUGAUUACAUUUAAACUUCCAAAACAUAAACAUAGAGUUUACAAUCUUCCAAAAUAUCUCACACCUAUACAUCAUCUACUCUCGUGUAUAUACAAGGUAACUACUAAUGGAAUGGGAAGUAUCUACAACCUCUAGGGCGCUUAGCCCUUACCAAGAUCCUCGCCGGGUGUACUCGAGCUCGGCCCUGCAACAAAGUGGGGUGAGAACUAUUAUCCAUAGUUCCUAGUGGGUUCGGCCGCCGACUUCGCAGAUCUCCCCACUAGGUCUAAACAAGCAUAGGCAGAUAGAUAGAUAGAUAGAUAACUUGCAAGCGAUAACAUAGUAAGAAGACAUGAAAGUAAUCUACCCUGCCUCAAUCUAUAAUCAUGCAUGCAACAUAAGUAAAGGCUAACUACCAAGCUAUCAUACUCAAUAAUGAUGUAAUUCAUUAGAUUACCCAAUCAAUCGGCUAACCCGAAGGUUCGCCACCAUCUCACGUCUCAAAGUCUCAUAGGGGAGGAGAUUUUAAUCACUCGGCUACCCCUGAGACCGCCUGCGGAUAGCUAGCUACUGUCCGGGCAACUCACGACUGCCCCUCUAGUGACCAAAACUCUGGAGUGCACAGCUUGUGUGGAGCGACCACUAUAAGCGCAGACAGGCUAUGUGAGUUCGAUCCAAUCCUCCUGAACUGGGGAUACCCUACCAACUAGGAAUAGCAUCAUCAUGGAAAUCAAUGUAGUCCUUGUCACACCCCGGGACCGAUACGAAUUUGGCCCGACCCGAGCACGUCAAACAGACGCCGAACGGACAGAGUUUUCCCUAUCCGCCCAAGGCUCAUCACAUGUAUAUUUUCAUCAAUAUAGAAAAGCACUAGCGGAAACAUACACAAACGGCUUACGCGAGGGUAAGCAAUAGCCAUUAGUGAAAGAAAGGAAAACUAAACAUUUACAAGUACUAUGAUUCAUUUUUGAUCAUCUACAUUGCAUCCAUAUUGUACAUUUUCAAAUUCCUUACAUUUCACUUCAUUACAUUGCUUGCAUCAUUUCCUUUUACAUCACACUUACCUCAAAAUGAGCUUUACAUUCUUCUCUUUACAUCACUAGUCAUCAAAUACAAAAGAUGAACAUAAGGUACUCUACUAACAAAAUGUAACCCAACUCAACUCUGGUGGCCUCUGUCUAAGGUGCGAUACCUUUACCUCGGUCGCUCGCCGGCUCGCUCGGUCCCAGCUCUGUGGAAAUAGUGGGGUGAGAACUACAACAAAGUUUCCAGUGGGUUCGGCCUCAACAUCACCGACUUUCCCACUAGGACUAACUCAGGCAUAAUAGAAAAAAUAAGCUGCAUAUAGUAACNCACGCGAUGCAUCCGGUCUCUCUUUGGGGGACCGGUCUCUCGGGGACCGGUCUCUCAAGCAGGGACCGGUUCCCGAGAGCUAGUUUCUCAGGACUUAGCCGAUUUUUCGGCUGUCUCAUUCCUCACGCGUUCGGGGACCGGUCUCUCCCACUAGGGACCGGUCCCCGAGAGCUCAAAACUGCAGAAUGCAGAUUUUGAUCCUUUAGCUCUCGAAAACCUUCCGUAAUUCACUUUUGCUCAUUUUAACACCUUCGGACUUUCCGAAGUGUACCAUCCACGCACUUUGGUCAAUUUGACUAAAGUUCGAUAUUUAUUUUUCGAAUUUUCGGUAUAUUACAUUCCUGCACUAAUCUCAUAGUGUUUCACUACACUAACGUUCUUAUGCCACUCGUUCUCGUGUUCAACACUAACUAGAUGCCACUUGUUCUUGUUACAUGUUUCCAAUAUUCUAGUUUACACUUUACUAGGUUUUCAUCCACAUAGGCACAUUCAUCAUUUAUCAUCUCAUUAUAGUGUUCGAAGUCAUCAUGUCACGCUAUCAUGCAUACUAGGUCCAAGUGUCAAGCAAGCGACUCUACACUACCACUAGCAUGCAAGAAUAUACAACAACAUACUAAAUACCCUAUAAUGCAAUAUGGCAAGAUGCUUAUGAGAUCAACAGUGAGCCUCAGACAUAGGGAGCAGUUCAACUGCUUCGGGAUGGCACCACCCACCUUUUGACGAUGCUACGAAGUAGGAAACCCAAUCUCACGAUCACUCGUCGCCGCUUCGACCUCUCGAGCGGAAACGAAGCCGAAACGCUCUUCGCUUGGCGAUAUCUCUGCACCGACUCGACGAAUCGUCGAACCGUCGCCGCCAACGCGUUUAAACACCUAUCAAUUAGGUUUACAACCAACUAAUUUAGAUCAAAACCCUAAAUUUUCCAAAACAUUAGAGCCCUAGGUUUCAACAAUGCGAAAAUCCACGAUUCUAGCUUGAGAUUCAAGCAUGAAGCAUCUACUAGGGACACUAAAGUUCCAACAAAACCAUUUCUAGAGUAUUUAAACUCUACCCUAAAAAUCCACCAUUAAUGCUCUAGGAGCUUACCUCUCAAGCAUGCUCCAAACUAGAGGAAGAAGAUGAAGAAGAUAAUGCCUUCCUCCUUGACCUUCUUCUCCUUCUACUCCUUCUCCUUCUUUCACCUUAGAGGGAGAGAGAGCAAGAGCUUAGAGAGAGAGAGGAGUGUUUAGGUUUAGCUUUGGGGAAGAAAUGAGAAGAGAGAGAGAGCAAGAGCUCUCAUAUAGCUUCACUCAUGUAACAUUGCAUUUUAGCCACUCAACUUUCCAACCAUGAAACAGCCCAUCAUUGGGCAUUUUCGGGCACGGGGACCGGCCCCUCUAAGGGAGGACCGAUCCCCGAGAGUAAUUUUUCCUAGGUUGAGCUUCGGCUCAACCCUUGCACGCGUACGGGAACCGGUCCCUCUUAAGGCGGACCGGUUCCCGAGAGCAACCUUGGCAGGUUGAGCAUCAGCUUUGUAGCACACUGGACCUUUGCAAAUUGCAUGGUUCGAGUGUUUGAUGUGUACUCCGAACUUUUCCACACUUGGUGGAAGGCCGUAGAUGAUAUUUCGGCCUAAAAGUUCGAUCUCUAGAGUUUUGACUUUGUCCUGAGAGUUUUCACUCUCGGAGACCGGUCCUUGAUAUGAGAGACCGGUCCCCUCAGCUCAGUGUUGCGGCAGCUGGCGAGGCAACAGGUCCCUGGCAGGCGAGACCGGUCCCCGAGCGCGUCUGCGCGGGGAGAGUCCGGUCCCGUGCGGGUAGAGACCGGUUCCCGAACGUUGGUUUUGCGGGACGAACUGAGAGACCGGUCCCAGGUGUCGGGGAGACCGGUCCCUCAGUGCGAAAACAGCCUAGACCGGGCAGUGCACGGAGUGGAUUUUUGAGGGACCUAAGUGGAUUUUGUUGCUUUUGAUGGCUUAUAGAGCCUCUUCUCUUCCUCUCACUCUCAUUUUUUCUCCCUCACACCCAUUCUAGAGAGAGAAAGAGGAGGAGAAGAAGAAGGAGUUGGAGGAGAAGAGCUCACUUGGAGGCCUUGGAGCAUCAUCUUCUUCCUCAUUUCUCACCUUGGUAGCUUGGAGCUUGCUUUUGAAGCUUGGUGGUGGACCACUCCUCAACCCUUGAGGAUCUUGGACUUGGUUUGGAGCUUCCUAGAGGUAUGUGACUAGUUCUUCUCCUCUAGAUUCUAGUUUUGAAGCUUUUUGCUUGAUGAAACCCUAGAUUGGGAUUCUAGGGUUAGUUUUGGGGCUUUUUGAUUUGAGAGCUUUGGAACCUUUUUGAUUGGUUUAGAACCUUCCUUUAGGUUGGAUUGGGAGGGUUCUUGCCCCCAUUUGGAGUUUGAGUGAGGAUUUCUUCACUUAAGGUGAGUUUCCUCCAUCUUAGCCUAGGUUACUUAUUGAUUGAGCUUAGGGUUGAUCGUAAGGUUUGCUUAACCCCUGUUCCUACAUCUUUAGGGUGCUAGGAGACUAGUCGGCACCUUCGUCGGAGCUUACGAAGAAUCGCGAGAGUUGUGGUAGGUUUGACUUCAUGAAAACGGGGCAAAAUGGCCCCUAUGCUUUCUAAAAUCUUCGUAAAGUUUUUUUUAAGAGCAAAUCCAUAUUAAACAUGAUUUAUAUGAAUUUUAGAACACUUGAUAUGCAUGCCUUAUAUAUACCUUGAAAUUUACACUCUAUAUAGUAGAGCUAUAUGUGUAGACUGCAUGCAUUGUGAAAGGUGGUUGGCUUUGCAAGUUGAGAACAUGUCUCUUAUAUUUGAAAUGAGUAGAAUUAUGCAUCAUGAACAUAAAUGCCAUGCUUGAACUCGUUGAACAAUAGUGUCAUAAAGGGGCACUUGAACCUAGCAAACUAUGAGAAUGCAACAUAGAGACAUAGCGAUAGGCCAUUGGGUAUCGACUAUAUUCCAUGUUUUAGACAUGAUGACAUAGUGAUAGGCCAUCGACACAGUUGACAUGUAUUCCAUAUUUUAGACAUGAGGACUUGAUGCUUGAGACGGACUGAUAUGCAUGCUUGCCAUUGUGCUCAUUCGCACAUGCUUGUGAGGGUCGCUCCCUACAAGCCGGCACUCCGGAGUUGGCCAUCGCGAUACGUUCGCCGUGCGGGAUUGGGCGCCGAAGUGGAUUGCUGUGGGAAAGGCUCAUUCCUAGGGUGGGGAUGUUGACUACCACGGGGCUAUUAGGCACGGUAAAGCCAGACAGCCUUCGGGUGGGUCUUAUGCCAGACAGCCUUCGGGUGGGUCUUAUCAAAGUUGAACUGUAAACAAUUAAAGUGAUAAGUGCACAUUGACUAGAAUAGUAAACAAUGACAUCUUUACUAUUUACAUCGUGGGCAUUGGAUUAGUUGCAUACUUAUGCAUUUGCAUGUUGGAUACUCUUGUGCACAUACUUGUAGUAAUUGCCUUCUUACUUAUGCAAAUCAUGCUAAGUAGAGAUAUCAUGGUUGAAUAGUAUUCAUAUUUAUUUCCUAGUUGUUCUUAUCGCUUUGGCUUAUACUUGUACACUGACCCACUUUUGUAGUUUUGGGCCUAGUGGCGUAUUUCAAUGAAGUCAGUAAUUACCCACUGAAAACUAUUAUUUAAUAGUUCUCACGCCCCUGUUUCUAUAUGUUUUCCUUUCAGAGCCUUCGGCACCGGCGUAGGCACGGGAUCUCGGCAAGGGUGUCGCGUAGCUAGCUCGGGAGAGAGUCCGUUUUGCGAUAGGUGGUUCCUUCUUUUGUUUGUGUCAGAGAGAGGGAGAGUUUUGGCACCAUGUAUAGAGAGAUCACCUUGUAUUCAGAGUUGUACUUGCUUUGGGACUCCUUUUGUGUUAUCUUAUGUUUUACCUAGCGGAUUAUCAGUUUUAUGAUCUUCUUCUUGUUGUAGCAUCUCGUAGUUACUUUGCUCUGAUACUCCUAGAUGCUUUCUUGUAUUGUUUUAUUUACCGCUUUAUUUUAGACGCCUUAUAUGUUUUAGACGUACGGCGGGUAUGGACACGCGCCGGGCGGGCUUCCGCUGGGUCCCGGGGCGUGACAAGCUCAACCCCCACAUGCUUACAGGAACCGGUCCCCUCCCAGAGGGACCGGUCCCCGAGAGCACAAAACCUGCAACUUGUACAGAUUUUGCACAGCUUGCUCUCGCAGGUCCUUCUCAAUACACUUUUUGCAUUUUUAUCGCAUUCGGACUUUCCGAAGCAUACCAACUCAACAACAAGUCGAUUCUAAUCGAAGUUCAACUCUCGGAUUUUGAUAAUUCAUUUCCUUACAAGCAGCAAAUUAAUUUUUAAACAACAAAAUUUCUGUACCUGUGGGCAUAAGAAACUCAUUAUCUAGAAAUUCAAUCCACUAUCCUAUUCUAGUCAAAAUUCAAAAUUAUUAUUUAUUUGACUACAAUAAAUAAUCAAACUUUAAUUAAAAAGUCAAACUUUAAUUCAAUGUCAGUAAAUUCUUAUACAUUCAUCAUUAUUUAUAGCAUGCUACCUUAUUUGACAUUGAAUGACUAUUAAAAUUGAAUUAGGAAUCUGUACGAAUUUUCGGGUUAAAGUUAGUUCACUAUCAUCUUAUAAAAAUACCGUAAGUGAUCACAUGCCAUGACUAGGAUGCGGUGGCUAUUUCUGGACAUAGUUGAUCUCAUAAAUCCUUAUAUGAUAUUGAAUGACUGAAAAUUUCAUGUUAUUCCAAAAUGCAGUGAAAAAAAAUAAAAGUCCAAAAUAAUUUUCUUAACAACUUUAUGUGGCUCAAAUUUAUAAACUGUGUGAAGUCUAUAUACCCUACUCUAAUUUUUAUGAUGAUCUUAUAUAUGUUUAGAAUAAUAACAUAACAAAAUUGUAUCGCAAAAUAUUAAUCUAAACAUACUACUUUAUAAUCUAAAUUAGCAUACGAGUAGAAUAAAAAUCAUAUAAGACAAAUACCAAACAUUAUAUANUAGCUCAUACCGGGAGAGGAGAACCGUCGAUCCCGUUGAAUCACUACCGGGAGAGGAGAACCGUCAAUCCCGUAGUUCCGAUUCACUUGUUUCAUGGCAUACCGGGAGAGGAGAACCGUCGAUCCCGUUGAAUCACUACCGGGAGAGGAGAACCGUCAAUCCCGUAGUUAUGAUUCUAUUCUUGCCAUCACACCAUUCCUAGGAAUUCCGGAAUCCACUUUCACAACUUAAGGGUUUUACUCUUUUACUCUAUGUUGACGACCUUUCUAGGUCUAUACUAUUCACUUUCUAGUGGUCCUAUUACCACUAUAAUUCAUAACUUAGUUUACUUUUACUGAGUGUUUCUUUACAUUAUAACCUAGGUUCAUUUACACCAGGUUUAAUAUUCUCUCUCCUAGAUCUCAACUCUAGGUUUAUUUGCUUGACCUAUGUCCAAUGACACUAGGUUAAUGUCCGACCUAGGUUCAAUAACACUAGGUUCAUUUCAUGUCCAACCUAUGUUUAGCAACACUAGGUUUAUGCCACUCGAUCUAUACAAUGACCAACCUAGGUUUAAUAACUUAGGUUUCAUGCCACUCGAUCUAUAUAUCACCCGAGGUAUCCUUGCCUAGGUUCACAAUUCACAUGUUUUCAUGUAGCUUGUUACCGCUGAGGUUUCUAAUCAACGAGAAUUAUCGACAUUCAUAUAGCUUGAACUAUGGUACAUUCAUUUUCAUAUAUGUUUAGAUAUAUACAUCAGAUGUCGACAAUUAUGUAUGCUUUAGCAUCUAUGUUCACAUUUCAUAUUCACCUUACAUGCCCCUGACAUUUACAGGUUCAACUUUUAUAUAUCAUAUAGUUGCUCAUAAGAAUUUAGCAUAACUAUGCAUCUAGCUUUCACGUUCAUAUAUCGACAAUUAUAUGUAUGUAUUCUUAGGUCUCUCGCAUUCACUUUCAUAUAUGUUUAGCCCUUUGCAACUAGCAUUUACAAUUCACGUAUUCAUAUUCAUAUGAUAACUAUUAGAGAUCAUCUACGCUAAUAUUCACAUGUCAACAAUCAUAUUCAUAUAUGCGUCAAAUGAAACCAUACUUUACUUUGACAUGGGAAGCGACCUAAUCGCUUCGGUAAGCACAACCCACCUUUACUUGAUACUGGAAUGCGAGAAAUCCGCUUCUCGCACUUUCCAGAGAACCGCGACCCGCGCUCUUGACAAUUGUAGUCGAAAAUGCUCUUUUGGCGAUAUCUUCGCGUAGGCUCGACGGAUUGCCGAACCGACUUCGCCAACGCGUUUGUUUUACCCCCAAUUAGGUUGUACGCGGUCAAUUUCACAUUAGGACUUCUAUCCUGCAAAAGUGCAUUAUUGAGGUCAGUUCAAUAUAACUUCUUUUACACGAGUUCCAUACAAAUUUAUAGAGCAAUUCAACUUCAACCAUUAAUCUAAGAACCCCAUAACCAGCUAAUCUAGGAAUACAAGAGAUCCACUUUAGCUAUAACAUCAUUCCUACAAUUUUCAUAUACAACCCAAGUUUACUUGCACGUUGUUAGCAUAUUAUAGUUUCUAAUGUUAUAUAGCAUCUACAAGCUUUAGCCUCUAAUAGAUGUAAAUUCCUGUUAUAACUAUGCUCCUACAACUCUAUUUUUUUAGACCAAUUAUGCCACAUAUAUAGCAGCCCAAGUUCACAUAUAUGCUGUCAACAUAUAACUCUUCCACUAGGUUUUGAUAACACAUACAAGUUUUUUGUAGAAUUCAAAACCCCAAGUUAGAUCCCUUUCUUAGGUUAAAUACCACAAAUCAUAAUCAGGAAUUAUGACUAACCUGUCUCAAAUUACCUCUUUAACAAACAAUUCACUUGCAUACUAUUCCAUCUUUAUAGCUGGUUAUAGGUUCUUCAUGGCAUGUAGAAGAUAUAGCAACCAUAAUCUAUAGUUUAGACCCUUUUUUUUUUUUCUUUAGACCAAUUAACCUAACCCAAAAUCAGGAAUUACAAAAUAACCGGCAGGAUAGCUACUUAGUUCCCAGCUGCCAAUAUUCAUACAUAAUACACAUGGCUUCUUACAUAGCAUCUACACUCUUUAACAACCAAAAUCCAUAGUUUAAACCUUUUUAAUUUCAGCACAAAUCCAUCAAAAUGACUUCUCCUAAGAUCCACCAUAAAAAUUCAUCAAAAGAUCUGAUUUGAAAUUAUAAUAAUAAAAUGCUAACUUCGCAGUCGAAGCGCCGAAAAAAUCCAACGCGCGCGGGGGAUCGAUCGGCUCGUCGAACGGCACCAAUUUCAUCACUUUCUUCUUCUUCUUCUUCUUUUUUUCUUUUUCCUUUUCUCUUCCUUUCCCUUUCUCUAUCAUGCGUACAGGGAGAGGAUAAGAAUGAAGGUCUCCUGGCAGCUUAGUGGAAACCCACUAAGCAAUGUAACAAUUGCCUUUAGGUCCACAAGUCAUCAAUAUUAUCACUUCAGUCUAGUUCUAGUCUGAUAUAUUUAAUUGGAGCUCUUAUGAAUGUCCGAUUGAGUUCAAAUUUGACAGGAAUGCUCGUUUUUACUUCAUAAGUCCACUGAAAUUUUAACAUUUCAGUUUCGACCCCUUUUGGUUACGGCGAACUGUCCCGAACUGUAAUCUUUAUCAGAUAACUUCCAGAUACUAUUUCUCUCUCUACAGGUGUCAGAAAAAUAUGAAACUUCAAAUCUAGACUCAUAAUAACGUUCCUGACAUCUCUGCUAAUUUUCAUAAUUUUCUGACACUGUGCAUUUUUCUGCUAAUUUCUCAGUCUCGUUCUUUACAGAAAAUUCUACAUUUUCCGUUUUCACUCCGAUUUCUUCCAAACACUUCCAAAAUAUUCCAAGGGACCUUUACAAGCUACUAAUUUAAUUUGGAAGCAAUUCCUUUUCAUUUUGACAUUAUUUGAGCCGAAUUAGCAAUAGAAUUAGCUCAAAUUCCAUUACAUGGUAGCAAUUUCUCCUUUUUGCACUACCACUUUGUACUGAACACUUCAAAACCCUUUGAAAACACACUCCUGGUUUUUUCAAAGCUUCACAAUUGAUUCGGAGAUACCACAAUUUAUCCUCACGCCUUACUUUAAUUCUUUUAAUCAAAGUUAGCGUCGGAACUCCGAAAAUUCUCUUUAUAUUUCAUUUCGCGCCCAAUUUGCGCCGAAACACUUAUUUAUCUCCAGAAUUCAUUCACACGCAUCACAAAUCACUCGAAGAUGAUGUCCAACUAGCUCAAUCCUCACUUUGACCCUCUAGGUCAAAGUUGACAUCGCAACUCCAAGUUUCCAUAUGUUACACGAUCUAUGUCAUAGUGUCACUUUGUUCUUUUGCUUACUUUGGGUGCUCACUUUCUCUCUCAUGCAUACACAUAGGGUUUUCGACAUUUAUAAGGUUCUCAACCAUAACAUUAGGCACGUUGUACUCACAAUCAUGCAAUCAUCACAUUUUAUCAUUACUUUACCCUAAAAUGCAUGCAACAAUAUAGGUGUAUAUGCUCAAUCGAAUGAUACAUUAGGCAUAGAGGGAAGUUCAAUAAGUUUGAGAAGCACCACCCACCUUGUAGGUCUAUCUAGGUGUAAGAUAUCGAAAUUCGACGAAAACGGCUAACUUUGGCACAAUGGACCAAAGUAGGCAAUUGAACGAUUUGGACAAGUUCCAUUCGGCAUUCCAACAAGUUUGGAAGAGUAAUAAUGAGUUCCAAAAGUGUUGGAAUAGUUCUAGCGUUGUUGGACGCGAAAAGAAAUCGAAACAGAUCGAAAAACAGCUUUCUGGAGCUGGUGUACCGGUACACGCAUGAUGGCUGUACCGGUACAGCCAUUGCUGCCAGGCUGCGCAGCCCUCGGGUUUGCUCUCGGGUUUGGCCGUUACGCAGGGCGCGUACCGGUACGCAAACCCGUGUACCGGUACACGAGCGCGCAGCAGCGGGUUAAGUUGCAAAAUCUGAUAAAAGGAGGGCUUUUUAGCAUUUUGUUACAAUAGAGGACUUAACCCUCAUGCCCUCAGCUCUCUCCUCUCUCACUCCCACAGCCCCUCUCUCUCUCUAGCUCUCUCUCUCUCUCUAACCGGUUGGGAGAAAAGAAGAAGAAGAAAAAGAGAAGGAAAAAGAAGGAAAAAGAGAGGAAGAAAAGGAAGGAGAAGAAGGAGAAGAAGGUUUUGAAGCCCUUCUUCAUCUCGUUUUUGACCUAGGGCUUGCUUUGGAGCAAACCCUAGAGGUAAGCCUCAACCCCUUUCAUGGUAACUUGUGAUUUCUAGGGUUUGGAUGGUUUUUGUUGCUUUUGAUGGUUCAAAUGGAACCUAAUGAGCUUAGAGAACAUGGAUUUAGCUCACAUUGAAGCUAUAAUCCAUAACCUCUCAUGGAUCCUAACCCUAGGGUUAGAUUUUGGGGAUUUUGUAAAUAGUGAGGUUUGAUCUCUUUUGAGGGGUUAGAAAUCUAAUUGCUAUGCUUAUAAACGCGUAGGCGAAGACGGUUCGUUGAUCCGACGAGUGAGCGCGAAGAUAUCGCCAAUUGACGCGCUAAGGGGUUAAAGCUAACCCAACGAAAAAUUAAGCGGCGACAAGACUAGCACGAGAACGCGUCUCGGAGUGUUUUCGGUAUCACCCAAGGUGGGGGAGUGCCAUCCCGAAGUCAUCGGGCCACCUUCUAUGUCUAAGUUUAACAAUGAUCUCUUUGCAUAUUGUGCAUGUUCUUAUAGGGUUAAAGAUUUAGUAUGUUGCUUAAUUUGCAUGCUAGUAGCUAUAGAUAUGGUUGAUUGAAUGAUUUAUAAACUAGUAUGCAUGAGAUUAAAUGAUAGAGUUUGAUGAUGAGAUUUAACCCUAUAUGAGAUGAUUAUGCUUACGUUGCUAAAGAACUAGUAUGAUGAGACUAGUGUUGAUAAUGAGUCAAAUUGACGAGUGGCAUCUAGUUUAGAAAACUAUGACAAGUGGCAUCUAGUUAGAAAAACUAUGAUGAAUGACAUUGUUGAUGUUUCCUUGAGAUGAUCACAUUAGUGUAGUUGAGACACUAUGAGAUUGGGUACAUGUAUACCUUACUUCCAUGAUGAUAUUACCCUCAAAGGGGUUGUUGUUGUUGCUCGUGAGAUGAUCUUGCUCACAUUGCCUGUCUGCGCUUGGUGGGGUCGCUCCCCCCAGGUUGUGCGCUCCGGAGUUUGGUCACUAGAGAGGCAGCCCUGCUUGCUGCUCGGAUAGCCGCUUGUUAUCCGCAGGCGUACUCGGGGAUAGUCCAGCUCGACAUCCCUAGGAGAUUGAUAUGUGAGUCUUGCUUGUGGACCUCGUGUUCACUUGGAGAUUGGGUUACCCAUUGAGUCUUACCCAUGAUUGAUGUUCAUAGUAGCUAUUCAUUGUUCAUAUCAGCUUACUUGCUUACCUAGUAGCAUGUUUUAUAGUUACUAUGAUAGCUGUUGUAGAUGUGGAUAGUUGCUUACCUACCCAGCUUGUUUAUUGUUCAUGCAUUCAUGAUUCCAGAUUGAGGCAUAGCUUGAUAUAGUUGUUUACAUACCGCUUUUAGUUUCGCUCAGUUUUAUAUGUAUAUUGCAUAUAUAUCUCUCUAUGCCUGCUUGAGACCUAGUGGGUAGAUCGGUGGAGUCGGCGACCGAACCCACUGGGAACUAUUCGUAGUUCUCACCCCCGUGUUGUUUUGGGGGUACAGGUGCACAGGACAGCGGGCCGUCGUCGAUGGAUCGUGGUAAGGGUAUAGCGCCCUAGCUUUGGUAGAUAGCUUCCUCUACCCACUUGCAUUAGUUUUAUACCCUGUACUUUUGAUUAUGCUUUGAGAGUAGAUGAUGUAUAGGGUGAGGUUUUGGAGAGUUUAUGAUGUAUAUUCAUUUGGAAAAAGAAUGCAAGUUGUAUUAAAUGUUUAAAGUUUGAAUGAUAUCGAAAGAGGUUUGAUGUUUCAAAUAUGUGUAAAUAGUUAAGUUUCUCUCUUUGUAUACUUGUAUGAUUUUACUUGUAUCGCUUGCUCUAGUUGGUUAUAGCACUGUUUGUGCUUUCGUUUCGUUGUUGAUUGUGUAUGAAUGCAAGUUGUUUUCUUGGGGACUUGUUGUACACAAUCCGUUGCUUAGCCUUGGGCGGACAGGGGAGACUCUGUCCGUUCGGCGGUCGCGCACGCCGCCCUCGAAUCGGACCAAAUUGGUACCGUUUUCGGGUGGUGCGGUCUGGGGCGUGACAUAUAGUCACUAGUAUCCCAAAGAUCUAGUUCUAGUCAUAAUGUGAAGUCCCAACACACACUUGCUUAGUGCCUCUUUAUGACACUUAAGCUCCACAACUAAUCAUAAUCCAAUUAAGACAUUAACAUUAAUGCUCACUAUGCCCCGGGCCCCAAUGUCUCUUCAUGACAUUGGCCCAAUCUCACAUAUUAUCUAAGUCCCUAAGCCUCUNAUAUAUAUAUAUAUAUAUAUAUAAUUGAGCUAGAAUAUUUUUAGAAACACCAACCCGUUGGUGCUUCUAAGUUUUUAACCCUUGGAUCUACUUCUUAAUUACUAAUACACAUUGGAUCAAACAAUAUUCCACCUACCACCAGUCCACUAUCAUCUCAACCUAUAUCUCUCCAUCAAACGGUUAAAAACUCAAAAGCACCACCCCCUUAAUACUUUUUGAGAGUAUUCUAUCUUAACUAUAUAUAUAUAUAUAUAUAUAUNGAAGGCGGCGAAGUCUACGGCUAGCUAAGGCGGUGGACGAUUCACCGUCUUUGUUUAGACGGUAAACGAGUCACCGUCUUCUCGUCGAAUUACUACAAAGGCACUGAUACGCGGGGAAUUGCUGAGAAGGUGGUGAAGGGUCAACGCCUAGAGAAGACGGUUAACCAUCUACCGUCUUCAUGAGAAUUCGCAUAGACGGUGAACGAUUCACCGUCUUUACGAGAAAAAUCCCACCUAGCGCCAACGUAGCGAAAGGAGAGUUAGUUUUACAAAUAAAAUUUUCAGAGGGUUAUUUUGCCAAUUACAAAAUUCCAUAGGGUUAUUUUCGAAAAAAGUCCGUUAUAGACGGUGAUGCCGUUUUUUCCAAUGCCGAUCUCGAUUGAAGCUGGCCAACCUCAUCACUAACAAAAACCAGUCAAUAAAUUUAUUUAUCUAUUUAUUUAUUUAAUAAAAUAAAUAAACAAAAUUUAUAGAAAGAAACGAAAAUCUAGUAAAAAAUGCGGCUUUCAAUAUCCGAAUUAUAAAUGAAACUUUAUUAGAAACUAAUAUCGUACUUUCUGGCAUAAUUUUGAUUUCAAUAUCCGAAUUAUAAAUGACUAUUCUUUCUCGUGGUUCGUUCUCGCUUGUGAUCUGUAAAAGAAUGGGACGUUUCGAGUCUAAUCCUUUAUCCUUAGAAAUAGAGCCAUCAUAAAAAAUUGAAUUAGGGUUAGAUCAGGACUCCCGUAUAUUACAUAUUUAUAUAUAUUUGAUGCAAGAAUGUUAAAUCACGUCCGUUCAUUAAGAACAUGUCCAAAUACAUUCUGACCAUUUGAUCUAUUGUAUUUUUAUAAAUCGACUUAAAUAGACCGACUAUAUUUUUAUAGAUCAUUUUGAAUAAAUUACGUAAGUCACAUCAAAUAUACAUAUCUUUUUUUUAUAUAGAGGGUGAUCAUUUAUCACUAUGCUUAAUUUUACACAUGCACAAAAAAAAAAAAAGAAAAAGAAAAGGAGAUAAUACAAAACAAAAUAUAAAACACAUGAUCCCCCGGUUUUUAACUCGUACCACACGAUCGGCUUCAACAAACCAAAAAAUUUAAAAGAAAUAAAUAAAAAGAAAAGAAUUCUCCCCUUUGUCACUCAUCAAAACACAUGAAAAGGAGGCAAUGAAAAUAGCGUAUAUAUAAUUAAUUUUUAAACGUAACACACUUUUUCUUUCCCGAAAUUAUAUAUCUAGAGGGAAAUUAAGGAGAAGCUCUCCUCUUCUAUAGUCUCCAACGUCGGCCUCCUCGACCGGCUCGCGCUCAUCCUGUACUUCAUCUCCCCCGCGGCAAUCGAAUCAUCGGUCUCGUAGUCCACUUUCGCUCUCAUUGCCGUCGUCGUCGUCGCCUCCUCCUGGGGCUGUAAUACACUGAACUUUUGCAAAUUGCGAAGUUCGAGUGUGUGGAAUGGUGUGUGGGUCACUCCUACAUGUUCUAAAAGGUUAGAACAAGUGUUGGGACAAGUUUGAGAGUGAUUGGAAUGCAAAAAAUAAGAAAAUGCAUUGACCUGCGAAAUCUCAGCAUUUUNUGGAUUUUGACUUUGAUUGGAUACUCGUUGUAUAUCGACUUGUACUUUGCUCUGAUAUCAGGAUAGGACUCUUUCGUUUUACUUCCUAUCGACUUACUUCUCGUAGACGCCUUAUAUACUGCAGGUGUAUGGCGGGUCUGUGCACGUGCCGGAUAUGCUUCCGCUGGUACCCGGGCGUGACAGGGGCGGAGACCCCGGAAGAACCCUCGCACUCCCGCCGGAGGCGCGGCGCGCCUCCAUGUCGGCCGCCAGAAGCAGUCGCGCCAUGUCGGGGGCGCCGACAACGGCGUUGAGCCUCUUCAUGGGCAGCAUCACGUAGACGUGGCCGAUCUCGAGGUCCUCAUCGGCCGCCAGCGCGGCGAGCCGCCGGCCGACCUGCAUGGCCCGUACGUCGGCGAGGAAGUGGCCCGGCGCGUCCAGCAUCAGCUCGGCGGCGGCAGCGCGUCCGUCGACUCGGCGGACGCACCCGUCGGGCAGGAUAACCUUCGUGGCGGGGCGGGCUUCUCCUGGGAUUGCACGGAGGCUGCAGGAGACGUAGUUGCCCAUGAAGAAUUAAGUAACUAGCUAGCUAGAACACGGAGAAAGGGAUCGAGGAGGUGAACGGAGGAGUUCAGGAUCGUGUGGUGAACGGAUUAAUUCGUAUGUGGGAGGAGUUCAAUUAUAGAAAGGGGAGUGCUGAGAGAUAGUCAGAUAGAUAACAUGAGACGCAGCGGGGAUGUGAUUAUACGCGUUAAGGGAGGGGGGAAAGGGAAGGACAGAGAAGGGAUCGGAUUACUGGAUCACGCGGGAGCAUCGGCGUUGGGUGGACGCUCGGCUGUUAAUACGUGUGGGGCCUACCACUCGUUUGUAGUUUUCGAGGAUGCCGAAGGGCGGUGAGCAGAGAGAAACACGAAUUAGAAAGAGAAAGUCAAAAAAUUACACUAGCCCUGAUCUUUCACUCAAAUUUAUUUUCAGCCUCAACUAAUUAUUAAUUUGAUUUGAAGUCAUUGUAUCGUAAACUUUAAGCAUUAGUCACGUUCUCUAUCUACACAUUUUAUUAUUAUAGCAUAAAUAAUUGCUACGCCUAAAUGUAUUUAUGCAUCUAAGCACACGUAUUUAUUUACUGUUUUUAUAUUACAUGUUUCUACCCUAUUAUUAAAUUAAAAACAUAGAUUUCUUAAGUACAAAUAUGAGAUGGGCGAACAAGCAUUUGAACAAGAUGCGAGCAAUAUUUUAUAAUUGAGGGACUAAAUUAAAAUAUUUUAAAAACUUUAAGGAUUAAAAUCAAACUGAAAAUAGAUUUUUGAAUGUCGAGAUGGAAAGCUUGACGACCAAAAUGAACUUGAUUCAAUGUUCGUGGACUAGUAGUGCAAUUUUCCCAUUCGUUCUUUUUGGAUAAUAUAUGCAGUAAUUUGCAGUUUAUAUUACUUACUACUAAUUAACUCAUACGUCAUACAACUGAGCUGAUAAACUGAACUGAUCGGGCCAAACAAAAUUUCCAGAUUUAGUUCGGUUCGUUUUUGGUCUCUAUUUAAUUGGUUUUGAUUUAAAUUUUAAAGCUAAAUUUUUCAUUUGAUUUUAUUCUAUCUUGUAACUCAAAUCAAACUGAACGCUGCCCACUUAGGGGUAAAAAUGGAUUUCGAUACGUUCGGAUACUUUUUCAAACACGAAUAAGGAUUGUAUAAAUAUUCUGAUAUUAUUGGAAUAAUAAUAUAUACUAAUAUGUUCAUAUAAAUAUAAAUUAGGAUUAGUAAUAAUGAAACUAAAAUUUCACAUUUAUGUUCAAAUUUUAACAAACUUAUAUUUGAUUGAAUAAAAGUAAAGAUUUAACUAACAAAUGUACAAUUUUAUAUAAAAUUCAAAAUAAAAUCAACGAAGAAUAUAUAAGGACUACUUUUUCCUCAACUCCAUUUUAUCUAAUAGCGCUAGAUAGACCUCAAUAUCAAAUUAAGCCUAAAAAUAUAAGAAUUUUCUAGUAUAUAUGAUUAUAAGUAGGUAGGUAGAUUUUUUUUUUUACUUUUUGAAAUAUCUUGCUAUUCAUGAUUUAGUAAAAUAACAUAUUUUAUUUGCUAAAUAAUUUAUCUUAUUCUAAAAAAAUAAUUGAAGGCUGAAUAUAAUAUUCUAUCUUAAACUAUGAUUACACUUUCAUUGUCCAAAUAUAUAAAUUUCUCGAAUAAAUCAAGAGGAUACAUCGAACAAAAUAUUAAGACAUUCAAACGGUGCUUUAAAGUCAGAUGCUAAAGUUAUUAUCUAGCAACAAUUCAUUCUUAAGUAAUCCAGUCCACUGUUCCAAGCAAUUUUGAAAACGUGUAGUAUUAAAAGGAUGAUCCAUUGUCACCUCUGAUAUUAACAAUUUCGUUUUUCGAAAGCAUUGACUAUUGAAAGAGAAAAACUUACAAGGAAAAAAGAUCUUAGAGGGAAGCUUCGUUGGGGUUUUCCUUUUGCAAAGUCAAUUACGUUAUAACGUACAUAGUACAGGUACGUGUUCCAUCUGUAUGCAUGAACUUUGAAAAUGUGUAGGAAGUCAACGACUAUUUAUUCACACUUUGGCUUAGUAACAAAUAGAGCGUAGAUAAGUACUACAUGCGUGGCCAAGAACGGAUCAUUUUUGUUCGUCAACGUUGUUUUACUGACCAAAGCUUCAUACUGGUCAAGUCUAACUAAUUAAUGAUUGGAUAUAAUCAUAGAUUUUAUUUAACACUACAUACCUCUGGUUGGGGGUAAACAGAAAAUAAAAGAGUUUAGCCUUCUUAUUCUAUCAAAUUGGGUGAAGGAUCGAAAUUCCUCUCUUAACAUCAAGAAUACUCUGUCACGAGGGGAGAAUUACUAUUCUUAUUUCUGUCAUGCUCCAAGACCUGCUCAAUUGGCCAACUAAGGCUCGUGCAACAGACCCGCAAAGCAAACAAAACUUUUCCUAUCCUUAUGGAGCGAAAAUAUACACCACCUUAUUGUACGACAUAUACGAGAUAAGGAUAUAAUGAUGCACUAGCAACUAAACUUUUAAUUAAAAAUAUUACAAUUCUAACAAUAUUGAGUUUACCAUACAUUUACUCUAAAAUAUUAUAUAGCGUUGUUUAUGUUGGAUUUUAUCCAAUGAUAAAUUUUGAUGAUAACAAACAAAUUUUGGAUUUAAUUUGUUACUUAGCAAUUUCAGGUUGAAUUUAAAGUGGCUCAAGCUGAAUCGCAAUUGAUCAAAGCUAACCAUUCAAUCAAAUUGUUCAAAUUGGUCCGGACAAGAUCAACUUGUACCAAAUUGGAUGCAAAUGCCACAACAAUAAUCUGGAGGACUACUUCUUUACAAUUUAUCAGAUAUGAGCCGGUCAACCUAGUCAAGUUGACCAAUUCACCUUUUGGAUUUGAUUUAAGCUUAAUGACAAAUUAGCCAUUAUUUUAAUAUGGUAUGAAAGUGAUUUUAUGUAUGAUAUAAAUUCUAAAUUGAUUUUAUUAUGGUAAAAUACGAAAUAUGAUAUAAAUGAAUUUUAUAUGUAUGGUAUUAUUUCAAAAGCUUUUACAAAUGUGGAAUGAAUUCAAAAAGUUUUUCAUUUGUAGUAUUAAUUUAAAAGAAUUUUACAAAUUUUGCAUAAUUUCAAAUGAAUUUUUCAAUAUAGUAAUAUUUCGAAUGAGUUUUGCAAAUGUGGUAUGAAUUUGAAUUUAUUUGGAAUUAAUUCAAAUGGAUUUGCAAAUAUAGUUAAAAUUCAAAUUAAAAUUAAUUAUGAUUUAAUUAUAUUUUUGUUCCAUUUUUGAAAUGAUGGCUAGUAUAUUUAAAGGGGGGUUUUUGUGAUACAACUUCAGAAAAAUUCUUUAAGUCCUAAUUGUUCAUUGAUUUAUAAUUGUGAGCUUCAUUGAGAGGUUGUAAAAGAAGUUUUAUGUGAUUAUAAGCGGUUUUGGUCUUAUCCUGUUCAAAUGGCCAAAUGAUAGUGAAAUCGAUACCACGAGGAGAAGAAGGACCGGACUGGAGUAGGCAGAAAGGCCGAACCAAGAUAAAUCAUCUGCGUUAUCUGAGUUUGAUUUUCUUUUUUAUUUGGUUGUGCAAUUUUUAUCUUGAUUUAAUUUUACUUGAGUUUUUAGUUGUCAACUAAUUCACCCCCCUCUUAGUUGCCAUUUGAUCCUUCAGUUUAUACAAAAUGGGUACGUCUAAACUAAUUAGCAAUGGUUUAUCUAACUCGUGACGCUCUUACCACAAUCAUUCGUCUCACUGGAAGAGGAUGACUCUAAGGGCCCGUUUGGUUCAAGUUAUAUAAUAUUACAGAGUAUUUCGAUAUAUCCAGGUAUCGUGGAUUUCUAAAAUAGAUUACUACUUAUGCUGUAUUAGCGUGUUUGGUUUAAUACAGUAAUGUAAUGUUGGAUUGCAGUGGUUAUAGCAUUGAUAUGUUUGGUUCUGUCUAUAAAAUUCAAUAAUGUAGACAAUAAAGUAUAGUCAAUUCCAAAAUUUUCCUUAACCAUAUUUUGUAAACUUUUUUUUACUGUUCACAAAUAAUAUUAUUUUAGUAAUUUUAUUUUAAAUAAUUUAAUUUUUUAAAAUUUAAAAUUUAAAAUUUAAAAUUUAAAAUUUGAAAUUUGAAAUUUGAAAUUUGAAAUUUAAAAUUCAAAAUUCAAAAUUUAAAAUUUAAUAAUGUAGAAUUACCGGGAGUUAGAGGGGUAAAAUUAUCAUUUUACAUAAUAUGUAGAAUUACCGGUUUUUAAUAAUGCAAGAUACACGACCCCCUCUCGUUAAUAUUUUCGAUGUAAUUCUGCUCGAUUUGUAAUGCUACAUUAACGACUAAAUUACAUAACGGAUUAACCAAACACAGUAAUCCUGGCAGGAUUGCCUGUAAUCUUGCCAGGAUAACUCGAACCAAACGCACCCUAAAAAAUAAUUGUUGGGGAAUAUGAAUAGAGAUCAAGUAAAGUCUUGAGGCGUGUAAGUUCACUUUCUUUAAGGUGAUAUUUGCCCCCACUCGAGUGUAUGCUGUCGAGUUACCAGCAAAUCACCUCCAGGAUACAGCAAAACUGCCGAAAGACUGCAAACAAUAUUUUUGAAAACUUUUCCUUAAGAACUUAUCUCUUAAAAAUCAGUAUGAAAAAUUUGGAAGGAGAAAGGAUUGAUUAUAUAUAUUUUAUCCUUGAAGCCUUCAAACAUCUCCUAUUUAUAUAUAGGAGCUGAAUGGUUAUGUGAAAGGACACAACAUUCAAAGUUAUAUCCUUUUAUAAAAGGACAUGUCCUUUCACGAAUAGUGAAAAGGCAUAUCUUUUCGCAAAUGAAAAAACAUAUUCUUUCACAAAGGGUUUAUCCUUUUGUGAAGAAAUGUGUCUCUUCGUAAAAAGAUACAUCUCUUUGCAUGAAAUAAAAAGACAUAUCUUAUUAUAAGAAUAAGUAAUUCAUCAAAGAGACAUAACCAUUCAUUUGAUCUUAAUUUUAAUUCUUCAACUUAUUUUCUCACAUCUAUUAUUACAAUUUACACUAACAAUCCCCUACUAGAUUGUAAUGCUGAUUUAGAAAUAAACUUAUGCAUAUAAGAAGGUGUCUUUUGAUUAAACCUUCAAUUAGUGUAAUUAUCUCAAAAUUCCAACAAAAUCAAUGGUGACCAAGGCUUAAACAAAGAUUCUUUAUAUUAGAAUUGGAAAUAACAUACACAUAUAUAUAUAAGCUUAAUUGAAAAGUUUACCGAAUAGGUUUAGCACCUUUAUGGCCAUGUGCUACCUCCUGAUUUCAUGAGCAUUUACAAAAGUAAGCCCUAAAGUUUUGCCAGAAGCGGCGCCACUUUUUAUGCUCAUAUAGAUGAAGUUCCUUUUCUACUGUCUUUGUUACUAUAGGCAUCAAAUAAACUUGAACUUCAUUAUAUUAAGAGUAUCAUUACUCAUCCUUUAAUUCCACAGUAUACACUGGAUAUUUAAACGACAUUCCUAGUGUAUUGUCAGUCACUUAUCAAUAACUUGUGUUUACCCAUUAAACCAUUUCACUAAUAAUGUAACUAGAUAAGUUGGGUUCACAUUAUUGGUGACUUUUCAAAGAAAGGCUUCAAACCUAAUCCAACUGAUGUAGAUUUUACUAUAUCUCUCAAGAGUCCUUUUGUGAAAGGAUAUGCUAAAUUACUGCAUGACUUCACAUAUAUAAUAGUAAUUAUUUUUCUUUUAUCAAUUCUUUAAUAUAGAUGAGCCUUAAACUUAUAUCUAUAGACUUACCAUUAUAUACUUGACUGAGUGCUCUAAACAUUGUUGUUUAACUAUCAUAGUGCAAAGAAAUGGGUGGCAUCGGUUGUGGCUACAAUUUUAUAUCAAAUAGUAAAUUUUUCAGCCACUUUGCUUUUUUGCCUGCAACUGUCAAUGCUAUAAAUUCAGAUUCCGUUGUAGAAUGUGUUACACACGUCUGUUUCUUUGAAGCCCAGGAGAUUGCUCUAUAUAUCUCGAGAGUUCUUUUGUGAAAGGGUUUGCUAAAUUACUGCAUGACCUCACAUGUAUAAUAGUAAUUAUUUCUUCUUUUAUCAAUUAUUUAAUAUAGUCAUGCAUGCCUUAAACUUAUAUGUCUAGACUUGCCAUUAUAUACCUAGCUGAGUGCCCUAGACAUUGUUGCUUGACUAUCACAGUGCGAAGAAAUGGGCAGCGUCGGUUGUGGUCAUAAUUUUAUAUCAAACAGUAAAUUUUUCAGCCACUCCGCUUCUUUGCCUGUAGCUGCCAAUGCUAUAAAUUCAGAUUCCAUUAUAAAAUGUGUUACACACAUCUGUUUUUUGGAAGCCCAGGAGAUUGCUUCACCUCCUAAAAUAAAUACCCAUCCAAAUGUAGAUUUAUUAUCACUUAAGCUAGUUAUCCAACUAGCAUCAGUAAAACUUUCUAGCAAUGCUCUUUUAUGAUAUCCAAACCACCGGCCCAAAGUUUUUAGUUCUUUUAUGAUAUCCAAAAGCUCUACUUACAGCCUUCCAAUUGUGACACCCCAGUAGUCCCACAUCGGGUAGUAUGGCUAGAUGUGGGAGUAUAUAAACUUGAUUUGUCUAUAUAUAAUAACUGGGCUUAAGCAUUUUCGGCCGGUGGUUUGGACCCAACGAGUUAUUAUUGCUAGCGGGUCGAGUCGUUACAUUUGGUAUCAGAGCCAGUUCACCAGCUGAAAGUGUGAGAUGAAUCUUGGCUGAGCUAGGUUUGGAAUGAUAGACUGAGCCAGGGUCGGUGAUUGUCAGGCUAAGUCAGGGAUGGAAUGACAAAGGCUAGCUAGACAAGUGUCAUAUCGCCUGGUGAUCUUGGGAUGUGUGUGUGUUUAGGGCUGACGAGGAUGUCAGGGCCUAAACGGAGGGAGUCUGUGACACCCCAAUAGUCCCACAUCGAGUAGUUAUGGCUAGAUGUGGGAGUAUAUAAACUCGAUUGGGCUAGAAAUAAUAACUGAGCUUAAGCAUUUUGGGCCGGUGGUUUGGGCCCAACGAGUUAUUAUUGCUAGCGGGUCGGGUUGUUACACCAAUGAUCAGUACUAGAAUUACUUGUAUAUCUAGAAAGUUUGCAAACAACAAAUGCGAUAUCUGGUCUAGUGCAAUGCGCUCCAUACAUGCAUUUGCAUAUUCUAUUUGAGCAAUCGCUCUUCCAGGAUUUUCGACUAAUUUAACAGAAACAUCAUAUAUUGUACUUCCUUAUUCUAUUUGAGCAAUUGCUCUUCCAAGAUUUUUGACUAAUUUAACAAAAAUAUUAUAUAGGGUACUUACUACUUUGAUUCCUAAGGCUGUGUUUGGUUCGGAUAUAAGCAAGAAUUGUUUAUUACAGGGAUAGGUACAAGUUCAGAUAUAAGCAAAAACUAGAUCAAUUUUGCGUAGAUUGUUCAUAGAAAUAAGGUAAAUAGCAUUUGGAUAGCUAGAUUGGAACAAGAGGAAUAAGAGUUAUAAUUUGAAAUUAAAAUCAUAUUAUCUAAUUAAUUAACAUCAAAACAUUACUUAAAAUAAAUAAUAAAUAAAUUAUUAAUAAUUAAUAUAAAUAAUAAUAAUUAUUUAUUAUUAAUAAUUAAUUAUAAAUAAUAAAAUAAUAAUAUCGAUUAUCUAAUAAUUAAUAAUAAUUAUUAUAAAAAAUUAAUAACAAUUAAUUAAUAAUAAUAAAGUAAUAAUAAUAUCGAUUAUCUAAUUAUUAAGAAUAAUUAUUAUUAAUAAUUAUUAUCUAAUUAUUAAUAAUUAAUUAUAAAUAUUAAAUUAAUUAAUUAUUUUAUUAUUUAAAUAAUAAAUAAUAAUUUAAAUAUAUUUAUUAGAUUAAUUAAUGAUUUACUAUCAUUAAAAUUAAAUUUAGACUUUAAUUAAGCUUGUUCUCAUCCGAAAAUAAGCAUGUUCCAGGAAAAGGGUGGAACAACAGUUUUAGCUUUAUACCAGCUUAUUUCAGGAAUUCGGAAACUAUUGUUCUUGGGAACCAAACGCGGCGUUUGGGAACAAAGAGAGAAACAAGGGCUUAUUCCCCCCUUAUUCGCGAACCAAAUGCUACCUAAAUGAUUAUAGUUUAAAAUCAUUUUCUUGAUGUAAUGCAUCUGAGAUAAAGCAUAACCUCCACUGUGUUUCUUCACUUUUAUUCCUAAGAUAAUAUCUACUUCAUUUAAAUCUUUCAUUUUGAAUAUUGUCAUGCCCCGGGGCCUAAAAUAGUGCCUUUUUACAAAUCAAAGUAGCGAAUUUUUUUUUUCUUUUUGAAACUACCUGGCCCACGUGAUGUACAGACCUGCCACAAAUACAAAGUUCCUCUGCCCAUGCGGACAGAGUCUCUUUUGUAUUUGCACGGUGUACCCAACCACAAUAUCAAUAGGAUAACAACAUACAACCUAUAUUCACUAAUCCACAAGCAAUUGAUGUGAUACAAUUCCAUACAACUAGCCAUCCUUUAAGAUGAUGUAUGCCUCUAAUUACUCCUUAGGCACUAGAUGAUGUGAUACACAAUACAACAAUCAUCCUAUUUAAAAGUGCUCCCCACCCAAAAGUUUUUUUUUAAACUCUAAUUGUUUAUCCAUAAAAAUAUUUUGAAAACCUUUUAAAACUAUGUCCCACACAGAAACUCAAUCUUUGAAAAGCCAGCUACCAUAAGGGGUAGAAAACCACGUACGAUAAAACCAUCAACCACACAUCUCAGACAAACCAUGGCUAUCACAUUGCAUUAUUAAGAAACCACAAGUAUUCAUAAUACUCAAAAACCACCAAGUCCGACAAUCAAACAAGCAAAUAACUAAACCACAUAAACUCUAGUUUAUUAACCAACAUGAAGAGGAGUGAGAUUUUUGACAGUGCUACUAAACUCUCUGUUGAUGAUGUUUAUAUGUGUAAUUUAAUUACAUAAGUACUCGUCAAGUUUCGGGCGAAAAUGAGCUAAAAUGGAGUAGAUACGCGACUUUUAGUUUUCACUUAAGUGAAUAGUAACUCCGGUUUUUCGGAGAAGCCACGGAGUAGAGUUGGCUUCUGGCAUGUAUCGGACUCCGUUCAUAUCAGUCCAAUAGCUCGUUUCGAUCGGUUCAGCUAUUCUGGAACCAAUGGCGCUGACGGAUUUCUGAUCUGAUGCACGGUUUUCGAGAAAAAGGAGUUUUACCGAAAAGGGGGUUUCCGCUCUUUGCUUUUCUGUGCAUUCUAAAGCUUCUCGUACUCCGUGCUUGUGACCUGGAGUAGGGUGAAGAAUGUUUCGAGUCCCUACUAGUAGUAGGGAAGUCAAUUUCUUAUGCGAAAGUUGGUUUAUUGGGUUACACAUUGGUAUGUGUGCGAUAUUUGGAUUAAUUGAGAGCGGAUGGGUUCCGUUGCGAAUCCGUGACCAUAUCUGACGAAAUAAGAUUGUAGUUUUGAUGCCCCCGACGUGCUGAAUGCAAUGGUGCUGUCGGAUCGAAAAUCCGACGAACGGAUCUCUGGUAAUUGCGAAGUUUUCGUUAAGAGGUCGAAGGUGGCAAUUCGGAAAAUUCGCGAAAGGCGCGACAUUUUAUGUAUCAAAUCGCGUGAGAUCGGACGUGGAGGUAUGUACGUGCAUAUUGUACGCCCUGGCAGGGGCUGAGGUUUAAAUAUUCUGGGUUAGAGGGGUUUUCUGCAAUUUGUCCUCUUGUAUAUAGUUAGCAUCUAGGGUUUCUUUGCACGAAACCCUAGAUCUAGCCGACCUUGCCUCCCAGCUGUGCCCGAACCAGCUUCAGCAGGUCCCUGCCCAACCUUGCGCGCACCCCGGCCGCCGGCAGGUGCCUCGGCCGCCAGAAAGCAUGAAUCCCGGCCACCCCUCCAACCUUCUCUCCCUACCAUCCCUGCCGUGGAACCAAUCUGGGUGACCAUAACCCUCGGGCACCACCUCUGGCAGCGGCCCCGACCUCUGCCGUCCCGCCGUGCCAGCCGCCGCCGUCCCCACGCGCCGCCGUCGCGGCCUGGGCACCCUACAGCCAAGCCUGACCUAGCUCAGGCCGAGCCUGGCCCCGCACCGCCUCCACGAGCCGCCGUCGCCUUUGGACGACUAUGCCGCCUUCCCCGGCGUCGUCACCGCCGGCCCCCACCGGUCCCGUGCUCCGCCGGCGCCGUUUUGGCCCCUGCAGCCACUUGCGGCCAAGUCGGGCCGAGCUUGGGUGAUCCCUGCCUCCCCGCGCCGCCACCGUUCCCCGCCAGCCGCGCGUCCUCCCACGGCCUCCGGCGACCUCCCGCUCGCCGCCGCUCGCCAUCCCGGCCGUCCCCGUGGACCGCCGGCCGCCGCUCCUCCAUCCUGCGGCCGCCCUGACCCGUGCGGGCCGUGGCCGAGUCCCCUCGUCUUCCAAGCGUCGCCGCCGCCCACUAACGGGAGCACCACCUCUCCCUUGGCCACCGCCGACAGACCGUCGUCAUCCCGACCUCCUCCGGCCGCCGCCUUGCCGCCGGUGCCCUUGAACCCGAGAGGAGCUAGGCGGGUUGGAUCUCCACCGCCGCGCCACCGGCUGCCGUCCACCGCCGGCCAGCACCUUCCCCGGACCCCUUCGACCUGCCGCCCCCUUUCCCGGCCGGAGCGCACGCCUUCCGACAGCCGCCGGCCAACCCUAGCUCUCCCCUGGCCGGUAAGCUUGUUUUCAGCCUUUCUGCGNCCCCUUGGCCACCGCCGACAGACCGUCGUCAUCCCGACCUCCUCCGGCCGCCGCCUUGCCGCCGGUGCCCUUGAACCCGAGAGGAGCUAGGCGGGUUGGAUCUCCACCGCCGCGCCACCGGCUGCCGUCCACCGCCGGCCAGCACCUUCCCCGGACCCCUUCGACCUGCCGCCCCCUUCCCCGGCCGGAGCGCACGCCUUCCGACAGCCGCCGGCCAACCCUAGCUCUCCCCUGGCCGGUAAGCUCGUUUUCAGCCUUUCUGCGCAGUGUUUCCUGUUCUACUCACUGUUCCGGCGACCUGAGGCUGUUCCGAUGCCUCCGGAGGUGAGCACGGUGAUCGUCAGUCAGUCCUGAUCACAGUGCUCACCUCACUUAGGGUCAACGAGUCCCUGGUUAGCGAGAUAAGCAUGCUUUUCCUACUGUGCGCGCUGUUUCACUAAUUUUGCGUCGCCCGUGCGCGUGCCACAGUGGCCGGCAGUGCUCCGAAAGGUGAGCACGGCCUCCGGCACGCCGAGACCAGUCAGCGGGAGUCUUGUCUUGGCUGUUUGACCUCUGGUUUGCGUUGUCGGACCAUAAAAGCGCCGAAAUCGCAUGAAAUAAUGCGAUUUCAGGUAUUCAGGAGGGCUUUUAUGCAUUUUGGUUCGUCGUAGCCGUUGUUGGCAGCAAGUGUUGGUUGAGGAUAACCUCUGGACUGAUUGUCCAAGGCCCCAGACCCUUGCGAAGAUCGAAAAUGCAUUUCCGGUGCGUUUUUCGGCGAAAUCCGCCGACGGAACGCGGGUUCGGUUCGGAAUUAUUCCGACGGUGCUUCGUGAGCUUUUGCGUAGUCGCUGAGCCUUGUUGGCUGGUCACUUACGUCAUUUCGUGAGUUCGGAAAUGACGGGUGAGCGACGGCGGGUUCCGGUGUCGAAUUAGACACUUCCGGGAACCCGAAUCGAAACGAUUAUCCGACGAUAAUUGUUUCGACACGAGGAGUUGUGUUCGCUGCCAUGAUGCAGGAUUAUUUAUGUUUAGUGGCAGCAGGUGACUCGUAGCUCAAGUCGGUAUGUUCCGGGACAGUUCGUGGCUCCCGGCGGAGUCCCCGUGCGAUUACGGGACUUCCGGCGUAUUACGGCGAUCGGUUUGGGAAACCGAUCUCCAUGGGUUUGCUUGUAGGCUGUGGUUUUAGUGGUUAUUAGCUGUGGGUCAGACACUAACCCGGUGGACCUUCCUUAGGUCCGGUUGACGUCCUUUUCAGUCAGGAGACAGGCGCAGCAUUUGUACAGGUGGGUACUUCGAUCCGAAGUCGGUACAGUGGUGCACGCUCGGUGAUAUUUCUUCUAUCCCCGUUCUUCUGUUGCUAUUUUCGUAUUAUACAUUGAGCUUGCAUCCCCGUUGUUUCUAUUAUACUCUACUCAUAUGUUUCUAUGCUUAGUAUCUUGUGUAGGAGUAGAGUAGUUUAUCCAUAUGUGAUACCGGUGACCUGAUUGGUCGGUUCUCGUACUUUGUUUCGGUGACCUAGUUGAUCGGUGCUUUUAUCUUAUAUCUGUUGACCUGGUUGGUCGGUCGUUGCAUUAUGUAUUGGGUUGGUCUGUUUCUUGACUUCUGUCGCUCGAUGACCUUUGAGGUCGGUGUACCCUGAGGGGUAGGAUUGUCGGCCAUGGCCGACGGUAGUUCUAGAUUAUAUACUCAGAUGACUUGUUGAUCGAUUCGUGCAUACAUACAGUAGUUGACCUAUUGAUCAGUAUCUACAUACUUUUGGUAGGAUGUUGAGUUGUUCCAUCCCAGUUGACUUGAUUAGUUAGUACUUGCAUACAGUUGAGAGGAUGUAGAGUCGUUCCAUCCUAGUUGACCUGAGUGGUCGGUUCUUGUGCUUCUUUAUAGUUUGAUUACCUAUUGGUCGGUUUGCCCCGAGGGGCGGUGAUUGUCGGCUGGUUGCCGACAUUUGGCUAUUGAUCAUAUCCGCAUUGAUCGCCACAGCUCGAGUGCAUUUCACGUACACCAGCGGGUUGAUCCCCCGCAGGAGGGUGGUUCCUUGUUCCCGGAAAAGUGGUCGUACAUCGACCCCGUGAGCCCAGCGGUGUUCUCUCUGUGCUAGGGUUACAUGCCAGGUGUGAGCAGGUAUGGUUUUUGCCUGAGGUCCUUAGACCCGGACACGGCGGUUUAGAUUGGGUACUUUUGGACUACUUGUCCGGUUGACGCCAUAUAGUUUAUAGUAGCGGUUGUUGCAUGUAUACUUGAAGUUCCUUCUUUUACACUUGUCUUUGGCUACAUAGUUUUGAUAUCCCUAUACGUAUGCUUUUCGUUCUAUUAUACGUAGCGGUAGUGUUUCUCCUCAUAUCUAUAUCUCAUUCGUCCAUUAUCCGUCUUGCUACUGUAUUUCACUUACCCAUAUACCAUUGUUUAUCUUCCUGAUCGGUGAGUACUCUCGCGCGCUCGUCGGCUUGCGGUAACCCAACUGGGAGGGAGAAAUGUUUACAUGUUCUCACCUCCCCAUUUUUCCAGGUAUUGCAGGCGUUGAGCUUUUGGGACUGACGUGAGGUUACCGUUCGUAAGCGGUCGAUAGAGCUUCCGGCCCCAGGUUUAUCGGUUUAGUUUUAUUCCUACUAUUCUGUUGUUAUAGCUUAGUCAGUUUAUAUGGUUCAGUAUUUUUUAUUACAUUGGAAUAUGUGGACUUUUCAUGAAUGUAAUAAAAGGAUUUCUGGAUUUUGGUAAAAUAAAAGGUUUUCUACCCCUCGUGGUAGCGUUUUAUACAAAGAUAAAGUUUUUCGCGUAUGGAGAACAGUUUUCAAAAGAUUUUUUCGUGGACUUUUGGUUUUAAAUAUCGAAUGUAAAACUACGGUGUGAAUGGUGAAUGUGUGAAUGUAUAGCUAUCUGUAUAUUCACUUAGUUGUGGUUGUAUACUGUUUGUACUUUUGUACCUUGUGCGACGCCGUGCAAAUACAGGGGAGACUCUGCCCGUGUGAACAGUGGAUUCCCCUGAAUUUGUGGCGGAUCGGCAUACUCUGGGCUCAGGUUUUCAAAAAAAAAAAUUUAAACGCUUUUUCGCUGUGUUUCAAAAUAAAAGGGGGACCCGGGGCGUGACCAAGGAGGGUCAAGACAUAAUAACCGUAAUCGAAAGAUGACUGGUUGGAACCUCUAUAGCUCACUAGCUAUCGUCUCACACACCGUGCCCGACUCCGACCACCGAGAUCACCGAGAAAAGUGGUUGGGGGGGGGGAGGGGGGGGGGAGGGCUGAGAAACAUGUAAACAUAUCUCCCUCCAAUUGGGUACCGCAAGCUGACGAAGGCGAGGCCUACUCACCAGCAAAGGAGGAACAACAGAUAGAUAUGUCACGCCCCGCCCGAAAUCGCUACCAAUUUUGGCACGAUUCCGGCCGCGUGACAGACCGGCCGAACAGACAGCACCUCCCUGUCCGCCAACGGCUCCACAACCGGAGAAUGUGUACAAGAAUUUACUCAGGACUUUAAACUCUAAACAUACACAUUCAACGAGGGCACAAACAGUGCCAACAACAAGAAGAGCAAGUAAUCCCCACAAGAUAUACGAGUGAAAUAAAGAGAGUACUUUACUAACUAUUACAAUAGUUCAUUCUUUACAUCAUUUUUUCAUCCAAAAUACAUAGCUGCUCCAAAUCCUCACCUAUAAUAAUCUCUCUCUCUAUACAUAGGUGACUAAUGCAAAAAGGAAAGCUACUACACUACCACCGGGCCUCACUGAUCGGGCGCGAUGCCUUUGCCGCGGUCCUCUCUCUGCAGCCCUGAACCUACCACUGGAAUAGAGUGGGGUGAGAACUAUCUUCCAUAAGUUCCAGUGGGCUCGGCCGCCGAUUCUGCCGAUCUCCCACUAGGUCCAAGUGGGCCACAAGUACAACAAAUAGCUAGAUAGAUAGUAUAGUAAUCUGAAAGCUGUAGAUGCAUUAGUAGGAAAUCUGCUACUAUGCCCAUAAUCAUAAAUAUGAAUGCAUGCAUCAUAUAAUAAAGAUUUGCUAUCAUGCUAACAAAUUCGAUCCCAUGUUCGAAUAGCAAUGUUCAAUGACAUUAAUAACCUUUCAUUUUACCCGGCAGAUCUGUGCGCGAGGCCCUAGGGCUCCGCCGCAUGACUCAUGUUCAAAUCCCAAAGUGGGGACGGGAAGCUUCCAGUGUGCACCCAAGCCCGGGACCGUCUGCGGACCUCCAUGUGGUCCGGACCUCCAAGUGGUCCUAGUCGCGCGACACUCCGGAGUACUCGACGACAAUCCCCUCCAUGUGGGGAUUGGAUGGCUAUGCCACCCUAAACGCAGACUGUGAGCUAGAUCUAUCCUCUCCAUGUGAGGAUACACUGUAACCAGGGUCAACACCCAAUCCAAUCCUCUCCAAGUGAGGAGGCUCUACAACUAGAGUCAAUAACUAUCGCGGAAUCAUCUAUUCCCGACAUUCAUGCAAUGCUAUUUAGUUUUCUAAAUUCAUUGUUCACAAGGCAUUUUCUAAGGGAUCCACCUAUCCCUAGGUCCCUCGACCUCUAGUGUUAUUUACACUACAUUAAUGCCACUCGUUAUCAUUCAAUGUUUGGAUGCCACUCGUUUGUCCUUUGACAAUAACACUACUUUCUAUGUCAUCAAUACCCCCAUCGGGUUCAUCUCUUUUCUUUCGCACCAUAGGAUUCACGUCUCGACCCAAUCCUCACCUAUCUAAAUCACCAAGCGUUCCAAGUACACUAGGUUAUCAAUUAGAAAGCAUAAGGAAUGGAACUACUAUGCAAUCCUACAAUGCACAUGAAGAGAUGAGAUUAAAUGCAAUCUAAGACAUAGAAAGGAGUUCGAAAGUCUCGGAUGACACCCCCCACCUUUAAUCGAUGUAGAGGCUUGGAAAAUCCUUCUUGGCGAGCUCUACAAAAAGGCCUUAGCCUUCCUCGCCCGAAUCAACACUUGCCCGGCCCGAUUUUGCCGAGAACUUCACGUCGGUUCGCCGAAUGCCAAAAUCGACUUCGCCCCCGCGUUUUGGGACCUAUCAAUAGGGUUUCCAAGACUUCAAAUGAGAUCAAUCUCAUAGUUUUACGAAAAUCCCAUUUUGGAGCCCUAGGUUUGCACCUAUAGCAAACCACCCAAUAAAUCCCUAGAUUCUUGGGAUUGAUCUAUUUAGAAGCUUGCUUAGGGUCCAUUUGACCCAUUCCAAGGCAUAAAAUCCAAAAACCCUAAGUUCUAAGAGCUAGGGUUUGUAGCUUACCACUUGAGCUACACCAAUGAGGAGAGGAGAGGGAGAUGGAGGUGCUCAAAGCCUUCCCCUUGAUCUCCUUCUUCUUCUCCUUCCUUAUCUUCCUCUUCUUUUCCUUCCUCUCCUUCUUGUUCUUCUUCUCCUUCUUUCCUUUCUAGAGAGAGAGAGAGCAAGAGAGAAAUGAGAGUGAGAGAGAGUGAAAUGAGAGAGUGUGAGGGAGAGAGAGGGCUCAGCCCACUCAAAUAAAGGCCAUUUUGCAUAAAAGCCCCUCAACUUUCACUCCUGUGCACUGCCCUCACUGGGCAGUUUUCGCGCGGAGGGACCGGUCUCCCCGACUUGGGACCGGUCCCCGAGAGCUUCCCUCGGGCGCACGCGUUCGGGAACCGGUCUCUCCCCGGGAGACCGGUCCUCGGGAGACCGGUCCUCGCCUGGGAGACCGGUCCCCGAGAGCUCAAUCUUCAGGACUUAGCCAAUUUUUGGCACUUCUCGCUGGGACCACGUUCGGGAACCGGUCCCUCCCUGCCAGGGACCGGUUGCAUCACGCAACCCCGCUGCGCCCAGCCAGGGGAACCGGUCUCUCACCUGCAGAGACCGGUCCCCGAGAGCAACAUCAGCCCAAUGAUGCAGUUUGCCUCAUUUGCUCUCGCGGACUCAACUCCAAGGCACUUUUUGUGCUUUGGACAUUCUCAACUCCCACAAAGGGUAUACUUUCGACAAAUAGUCGAUCCUGGAUGAAGUACAAUCCUCGUAUUUCGAGAAUUCACUUCCUUACAAGAUAUGUAUAUAUCAAGUACAGUAGUGAAUAAUGGAGAACAUGUAUAAACAUGUAUGAACAACUACUGCUACUGCAAAUAAUGAAUAUAUGCAUCAACUUGUCACGCCCCGGGGUCCCUUUUUGAUUUAUAAGCAAUGCGGAAGCGUCCAUUUUUUUUUUUUUGAAAAACUCGACCCCCAGGGUAUGUCAGAUCCGCCAUAAUACAGGGAGUCCACUGUUCACACGGAUAGAGCCUCUCUUGUAUUUGCACGGCGUCGCACAAGUACAAAUACAACCACAACAGUACAAACAUCCACACACAUAUACCACAUCAUAGAUUCCACUUUAUAUCAUCAUAGAUAAUAGUAAUUUCACAUCUAUUAGUUUAAAAUGUUUCCUACUCGCAAAUUUAUUUUGAAACACUAAGAGUCAUGAAACCAAUAAAAACCCUUUCAAAACCGUUUUCCAUACAGAAACUCUUUUUCUUUAAAACACGCUACCACGAGGAGUAGAAAAUCGUUUUCAUCUCAAAGAAGAACAUAAGUUCUUUAAUUCAUUUACCAAAAUCACAUUUAUCCAAUUAAAUGAAAGCCAACUGAACCAUAAUGUCUAAGUUAUUUAUUUUGAGUAAGAAAGGAUAGAAACUAGACCGAAUGUCACCGGGCCAGAAACUCUAUCGACCGCUACGAACGUGUCUCACGUCUCGUCUCAACCCUCACCGCCCACAAUACCUGAAAAAUGGUGGGAGAGGUGAGAACAUGUAAACAUGUCUCCCCUCCCAGUGGGCACCGCAAGCCGACGAAGGCGAGGAGUACUCACCGCAUUAGGAAGAGAUAAAUAAGGUCAUGAGUAGAUAUAACAAAUAUAGUAGCACAAACUGAAAGGAAGUAGAACAAUAACAGAAUAUAUAACUACCGCUACUAUAAAGAAGAACCGAAUGCAUACAUGGAUAUGGAUAUCAGAAUUAUAGUAGCAAGACAAGCGUAAAGAAAGGACUGUGAGUGUACAUGCAACAACGGCUACUAUAGUCAUAUGCGUCAACCGGACGAGUAGUCCAAAAUAUACCCAAUCUAAACCGCCAUGUCGGUCUAAGGAUCUCAGGCAAAAGCCACCACCUGCUCACACCUGGCAUGUAACCUUAGCUGUCACACCCCGUGCCCCGCCUAUUUGGUCGGGUUCGGGCACGCCAAUAGACCGCUGAAAGGACAGAGUUUUCCCUGUACGUCCAAGGCGUCGCAGUCAAUACAAUGCACGAAGUUCCAACUAGGAACACAUUUCAAACAAAGAUUGUAUAAGGAAGUAUUAAAAACAUAAAACAACUAAGUUAUUACAACAUUCAUCUUUAGGUGCAUUUUACAUCACAAUUACUAUUACAUUUUUCCAACUUCCGAAUACAAUCCAAGUUACACUAAUUUAAUUACAAGUUUAAUCCAUUCAUCUUGUUCUUUUCAUUUCCCUCUACCCUUAGGCUAUGCCGACUCGGGGUACUGCUAUCUCUGGUCUCUGGGUAGGGCGCUAUCUACGGAGUUACGCCCUUGCCUCGCGCUGCCGCGUGUAAUAACUGAGAUUUUGAUUUAGUGAUUAAACCCUUUCGUUUGACGAUGUUCUUGUGUGUAAUAUAAUUAUAAGUGUACUCGUCAAAUUUCAGGAGAAAACGAGUUAAAACGGAGAAGUUACGCGACCCGGAAGUCUGACUUAAGUGAAUAGUAACUCCGGUUUUCCGGAGAGGCCGCGGAGUAAAGUGGACUUUCGACGCUUAUCGGACUCCGAAUAUAGCCUUCCAAUAGCUCGUUUUCAACCGCUCAACUAUCCUAGACCCAAUGGCACUGACAGAUUUGGUUUUGGAUGCACGGAUUUCGAGAAAAAGGGGUUUAAUGGUUUUUGCAUAUAGUUGUCUAUAUGUGGUUUUUGGUGGAACCUAGGAGGGAAGGUUUUGUCACAAAUCGGGAAUCUUUUCGGGCGAAACGAGAUGCUAGAUUCGAUGCCUCUGUCGUGCUGAUCGCGCUGGUGCGAUCCGAUCGGAAAUCCGACGGACGGAUCUUCGGGAAUCGCGAAAAGUCCGCGAAGGGGCUGAUUUGAGUAAUCGAAUUAUUUGCGAAAAGGCCCUAUAUUUUAUGCGUCGAUUUGCGAGUUUUUGAACUCGGAGGGACUGUCGUGCAUAAAGCACUCGCUAGCAGGGAGCUGGGUUUAAACCGUUCAGCCUUGAAGGGGGUUUUCCGCAAAGACGCAGCACCUAUAUAUGAUGACCUAGGGUUUCUUGAGCUAACCCUAACCCUAGAACCCCCCCCCAGCUGACCCAGCCGCCCCUGUCACCCCUGUCACCCCAGCACCUCCCUGCCCUGCCCGUGCUCACGUUCCGGCCGCCGUCGAGCAGCCCCGGCCGCCGGAAACUGCCUGCAACCAGCCUUCCUCCUCUCCUCGGCCACCUCCCUCAUCCACCUAGACCGAGGGCUUGUGGGAGGGUCUCCACCGCCUCUGGAAGCAAGCCCCGGCCUCCUUCCACCUCAGGUGUGCCUCUCCCCUAGCUCCGGCCGCCCCCGAGCGUCGCCGGAGCCGCCGGAAGAGGCUGCAGCCAGCCGGGUCUGCCCAGAACCGAGCCAGGCCGAGCUCAGGUUGCGGGCUUUGGGACCGCAUUUCCCCUGCGGCCAAGCCCCCCUGUCGACCCCGGCGACCUCCAGCAACCCGGCGCGCGCGUCCCCGGCCGUCCCCGCGCCCCGCCGGCCGCCGCCAAGGUCUCCCGCCGCCGCUCGGGUCCUGUGCGGGCCGACCUUGGAGCCGCGCCACUCCCGAGCGCUGCCGUUGCCCUCUGAGGUGAGCACCACCUCCCCCUUGGUCUCCGGCACCGGAUCAUCGCCGCCCCGACCUCCCCCGGUCGCCGCCUCGCCGCCGGCAAGCUCCAACCCGAGAGGAAGUCGGCGGGCCCGAUCUCCGCCGCCGCGCCACCGGCUGCUGCCCGCCGCCGGCCAGCACCUCCCUCGGACCUCCCCGACCUGCUGCUCCCAUCACCGGCCGGAGCGCCCGCCGCCCGAUCGCCGGCGGCCAUCCCUAGCUCCCACAGCUCCGGUGAGUAGUUUACUUUGGUUCCAGCACUGCUGUUUUGCGUUCCGGUCACUUUUUCGGUGAUCCGAUGACUCCCUGGCACCUCGGGAGGUGAGCACGGUGAUCGUGGGCUCGUGCUGAACACGAUGCUCACCUCCAUUUAGGUUAACGGUGCCCUGGUUAGUGAGUAAUGUGCGAUCUUCGCGCUGUGCGCACUGUUUCGCUGAGGUUCGCGUCGCUCGUGCGCGCGUGGUUGCUGCCGGCAGUGCUCCGAAAGGUGAGCACGGCCUCAGGCAUGCUGAAACCUUGCAGCAAGUGCGAUGGCAACCUCCGUAGAUCCCUGGUUUGCUGGUACGACCCGUUAGAGCCAUGAAAUCACAUAAAAUAAUGUGAUUUCAUGGGCCAUUUGGGAUCCGUUUGCGUUUCGCUUCGUCGUGGCUGCUGUUGGUAGCAGGUUAAGGCUUAAGAUAACCUCUGGACUGAUCGUCCAAGGCCCCAAGCCUUUGCGGAAAUCUAUCGGUCAUUUCCGGAGCGUUUUUCGGCGAAAUCCGCCGAUAGAACGCGCGUUCGACUCGGAAUUCAUCCGACGGUGCCCCGUGGUUGUUUGUUGCGUCGCUGAGCCUUAUUGGCUGGUCACCCGUGUCGUCUCGAGGGUUCAGAAACGACGGGUGAGCGACGGUAGAAUUCUAGUACGGUUUCCGAGACUUCCAGCCGGUUCGGAAGUUGCGUUUGAGAAACCGAUUUCCGAGGGGUUAUGAUUUUGGGAUUUGUGUGAGAAUGGUCGUGUUAUUGUGUUUGUGGGUUAGAUUCUAACCCGGUGGACCCUUCGUAGGUCCGGUCGCUUCGUCUCCGCCUUCGCGAGACCGUUUCAGCUUCAUACAGGUGGGUACUUCGAUCCGAAGUCGGUACAGCGGUGCACGCUCGGUGAUGUCUUCCUUUACCCUAUCUUUUACAUCGUCUAUUCAUAUUGUUUACUCGUUAUAUAUUGAGCCUUGCACCAUACUGUCUUUAUUUACUCUGCCGGUUGUCCUAUGCGUAGUAUUCUGUGUAGGGGUAGAGUAGAUGGCAUUAGUAUAUACUAUACAUGUGACCUGAUUGGUCGGUUCUUCUGUUGCAUCGGUGACCUGUUUGGUCGUUCAUUACUUUUCGUACAUUGACCUAUCUCGGUCGGUUCACGUUGUACUUGAUGACCUAUACGGUCGGUUUGCCCAGAGGGGCAGUGAUUGUCGGCUGGUUGCCGACGGUUGGCUAUUGAGCAUAUCAGCAUCGAUCGUCACCACUCGUUCGCAUUUCACGAACACCAGCGGUCUGAUCCACCGCAGGGGGUGUUCUUUUUCGGAAAAGUGGUUGGGUUUGCCCACCCGUGAGCUCAGAGGUUACGACUGGGUACAUGCAGGUUGAGUGAUUGUGGCAUUAGCCUGAGGUCUCCGGACCAACAAGGCAGGUUUAGAUUGGGUAUCCUUGGACUAUCCACCAGUUGAUGCAUACAUACAGUAGCAGUAGUUCAUUACUUGUACAUCAGUUCCUUACUUGUACUUUCUGUUCUUUUAUCAUAGUAGCUACUGUAGUUGUUUACUGUUACUGUUGUUUAGCCUCCUUUGUUGGUGCGUACCCUCGCCCUCGUCGGCUUGCGGUACCCACUGGGAGGGGAGACAUGUUUACAUGUUCUCACCCCCCGCCCCCAUUACAGGUGACGUCGCAGGUCCGAGUGGGACGGCAGGUGAGGAGCGAGUCUAGCUCGCGUUAGAGCUCCGUCCACUUUGGUUGUCUCUUUUCCCUUGCUUGAAUAAAUAGCAAACUUUCAUUACGGUUCAGUUUCAUUCUGUACUUGAAUAUUUGGUUUUCCGCUGGCUUUUCGUGAUAAAAAGAGAUUUAUGGGCUUUUCAAGUAAAAUGAUUUUCUACUCCUCGUGGUAGCGCUUGUUUUAAAAAAAAAAGGGUUUUCAUAUUCGAUACAGUUUUCGAUGGUUUUCUACCCCUCGUGGUAGCGUUUUAAAAGAUAAGGUUUCCGUGUGGGAAACAGUUUUAAAAGAAGCUUUCAAUGGAUUUCUGAGACUUAGCAUUUCAAAACUCGUUUCCGGGUAGGAAACAUUUCAAAUGAUAGUCCUGGAUUUAUGUUUAAAACUUGGAAUACUGUCAUGUUGUGAAUGGUGAAUGUAUGGACGUCUGCAUGUGCGAUUGAGAUUGUGUGUUCAUAUGGUUGUGGUUGUAUUCUGGUUGUACUCUAAUUGUGUAACUGUACUUGUGCGACGCCGUGCAAAUACAGGGGAGACUCUGUCCGUGUGAACAGUGGAUUCCCUGUAUUUGUGGCGGAUCUGACACACUCUGGGGUCAGAUGUAUCAAAAAAAAAAUUUUAGUCGUUUCCGCUAUUUUUCCAAAACAAAAAGGGACCCCGGGGCGUGACAGAUUAAAGUGGUAUCAGAGCCAGUUUACAACCACAACACCAUUCACAGGUUGUUUUCGAAAAAUCCAAUGAAACUGAACCAUUGGUUAGGUUGACCCAUAGGAGGACCCACGGUAUAUAGGCACGUGAGUGCGGGGGUUUGGGCUCGAGUCCCGGUGGGAGUUGGUCGAGUCGAUUAUUCGACUGACGGUGUUUUCUGUUGCAGAUGGCUCGUGGUAGACCGCGUGGCAGUGGACGCAUCAGUUCGGGGACGUCGCGCAGUCCAGCCGGGAGAGGCCGAGGAGGUGGCGGGGAGCAGGUCGGCCCUGAGCCGCUGGGGGAUGCGCGUACCCAGCAGCUCGAGGCCGAGGUAGCAGCGAUGAGGGGUCAGCUCACGGCCCUCUCCGGGAUGUUCCAUCAGUUCUUGCAGCAGCAGACCGCAGCUGCAGCUCCCCCAGCCCCACCUCCGACGCAGCCUGCCCCGACGACUGCGGACCCUCCGGUGACGCCUGCACCGGCUACCGCUCCGACGGUUACGGCGACGAUGGCUGCCGCCACGACACUUCCUUCUGGGGGUACUGAUACCCAUGCAGCUGAGGGCGCCCGCAUACGGGCGAAGUUGGCCCAGUUCAGGAAGUUCGACCCACCUAAGUUCGCUGGGAAGAAUGAUGAUGCAUGGGUGAUUGAGCACUAGGCCACCCACAUGGAGAAGUUAUUUCGUGAUCUCCAUAUCGAUGAGCAGGAUCGAGUUCCUUUGGCCACCCAUUGCCUAGAGAGUGAUGCUUAUGCGUGGUGGAUUCACCAUUUCGAGAAGAAAUUGGAGAGUAUCUAUCCACCCUGGGAGGAGUUUCGGAGACUCCUGUACGAGCAGUUCUUCAAGGAUAGUACAAAGCAGAGCUUGGAGCGCGAGCUGGAGCGUCUCAAGCAGGGCAACCGUUCAGUAGCGGAAUACAAGCGGGACUUCAGCCGUAUCGUUGGGCUGAUUCCCUUCGCCGUGCGAGAUGAGUACCAUAAGGCCAGGGUUUUCAUGAGGGGAUUGAGGCCUAACAUUCGACUGUUGGUCGCGUCCAAUGGUGUGAUGACCUUCGAUGAGUGUCUGGAUCGGGCCCUGAUUGUGCAGAGUGAGUCAGAGGAGGUUCGAGCUGAUCGCGAUGCAUCCGAGCGACCAGGCGAUAAGAAGCGUUCCCGCGCCAAGUUUAGUAGUGGUUCUUCUUCCUUCAGCAAGAAACCGCCAAAGCAUCCGCGCACUCAACAGGCGGCAAAGAGUGCGCCCUCCGGCAACCAGCAGAGGGGCGAUCGACCUUGUGUGAUCUACGGCCAGGCUCAUCGGGUGGUCGAAUGUCCGCAGAGGAGGGACCACUGUUUCCGUUGUGGCCAGCCGGGCCACCUGCGAGCUCAGUGUCCUAGAGGUGGCGGGACUUCUCAUAGUGCUGUCUCCUCCCCGGCUGCACCCCGACAGAGCCGCGGAGCCCCGAGUGCAGCUGCUUCGUCUGGGCGUCCCCCCUUACCUCGGCAAACUGAGGGGACGCGCCAGGCAUCUGGUGGGAGAGUCUUCGCCCUGACUCAGCACGAGGGCACUAGUGGCGACGUCCUUGCAGGUAUUGUCACCCUCAACCUUACUCGUGCUAGAGCUAUUUUCGAUACUGGAGCAUCGCACUCUUUUAUUUCGCAUUCAUUUGCAUGUGAGCAUGGUCUUUCCUCGCAACCACUCGAUGUACCACUUCGGAUCGAGACACCUGGAGGUGAUCUUACUGCUGUCAGCUGUGUCUCGUCGUACCCCGUCUUCUUGGAUGAUCGGUCUUUUCUAGCUGAACUGGUGGUUAUCCCGAUGAAGAAAUUCGACUUGGUGCUUGGGAUGGACUGGUUCACCAGGCACCACGCUACUAUCGACUGCGAGCGGAGGAUGGUGAUCCUUGCCGAGCCUGGUGGUGAAGUAUUCGUCUACCGAGCAUGUAAGAGCUCUUAUUUCGCUGCGACUAUCUCUUCUGCUAGGGCAAAAAGAUUGUUGAAUGCCGGGUGUGUGGCUUACCUGGCUUCGGUAGACGUAUCUUGCCGAGCUACACCAUUUUUGGAGGAGAUUCCUGUAGUUCGGGAAUUCCCAGACGUUUUUCCAGCCGAGCUUCCAGGAAUGCCUCCGGACCGGGAGAUCGAAUUCUUCAUCGAGCUUGUUCCGGCCACUACGAGUUCACUGUGAUGCCUUUCGGGCUCACCAACGCUCCGACAGCCUUCAUGGACAUGAUGAACAGGGUCUUUCGGGCUUAUCUGGAUCAGUUUGUCGUGGUUUUCAUUGAUGACAUCCUGAUCUACUCGCGGAGUGAUGAGGAGCACGAGGAUCAUCUCCGACGAGUAUUGUAGAUACUUCGGGAGCACAGAUUGUACGCUAAGCUCAAGAAAUGCGAUUUCUGGCUCCGUGAGGUGUCAUUCUUGGGGCAUAUUAUAACUCCGGCGGGCAUUUCGGUGGACCCGAAGAAGAUAGCCUCGGUGGUUGAGUGGCCUGAACCAACUUCGGUGACCGAAGUCCGGAGUUUUCUGGGUUUGGCAGGGUAUUAUCGGCGAUUCGUUGAGGGCUUCUCCAAAAUCGCCACGCCGCUUCACAAGCUUACGAGGAAAGGAGAGCGGUUCCGGUGGACUCCGCAGUGUCAGCAGAGCUUCGAUGAGCUGAAGGAUCGACUGACUCGCGCACCCAUUCUUACUCUACCGCGGCCUGGUGAGGACUUUGUGGUUUACUGUGAUGCCUCCCGGGUCGGCUUGGGGUGCGUACUUAUGCAGCGGGAUCGAGUCAUCGCUUACGCCUCUCGACAGCUGAAGCCCUAUGAGCAGAAUUAUCCGACUCACGACUUGGAGCUUGCAGCGGUCGUUUUUGCCCUUAAGCUGUGGAGGCAUUAUCUGUAUGGAGCUCACUGCGAGGUGUUCACCGAUCAUCAGAGCCUGAAGUACCUCUUCACCCAGAAAGAGUUGAACCUCAGGCAGAGGCGUUGGCUCGAGCUCUUGAAGGACUACGACAUCACGAUCCAGUAUCAUCCGGGAAAGGCGAACGUUGUGGCGGACGCCUUGAGCCGGAAACAGCCUUCAGCUGAGAUGUCCUUCAUGAUCACGAGCCAGGAUCGACUUGUGGAGGAGUUCUGCCGUCUUGAGAUCGAGGUUGUCCCCACCGGAGCUACGGCUCAAUUGAUGACUCUGGUGGUACAACCGACUUUGGCAGAGCGGAUUUUGUUCGGUCAGCACAGCGACCCGUAUUUGCUUAAAGUACGGGCGGAGGUCGAGCAGGGCCAGGACGAGGAUUUCACCAUCCACUCCGAUGGAUCUCUGCGCUUUAGAGGCAGAUGGUGCGUGCCUAGUGAUUCGGAGCUGAGGAACGACAUCCUAUCCGAGGCGCACCGAUCCCCUUACACAGUUCAUCUAGGCGGAACCAAGAUGUACCGCGACUUGAAGCAAAACUUUUGGUGGCCUGGGAUGAAGCUUAAUGUGGCCCAGUUCGUGGCUCGGUGCUUGAUCUGUCAGCAGGUGAAAGCCGAGCACCAGCGACCGGCAGGAAAGCUGCAACCACUUCCGAUUCCUGUGUGGAAGUGGGAGCAGAUCACUAUGGAUUUCGUCACCGGAUUACCUCGAUCACAGCGAGGUCAUGAUGCGAUCUGGGUUAUAGUGGAUCGGCUGACGAAAUCGGCCCACUUCCUGCCGAUUCAUACGAUGUGGUCCCGUGAUCGACUGGCACAGUUAUAUAUCGAUGAGAUCGUCCGACUUCAUGGUGCACCAGUGUCGAUUGUGUCUGAUCGGGACACUCGCUUCGUUUCCCACUUCUGGAGGAGCUUGCAGCAGGCUAUGGGUACGAAGCUGAACUUCAGUACGGCUUUCCAUCCUCAGAGUGACGGUCAGUUAGAGCGAGUCAUCCAGACUCUUGAGGACAUGCUUCGCGCAUGCGUCCUGGAUUACGGUGAUGGAUGGUUUCGGUAUUUACCGUUGGUGGAGUUCGCCUAUAAUAACAGCUUUCAGGCGAGCAUCGGGAUGGCACCAUACGAGGCGUUGUAUGGGCGUCGAUGUCGUUCUCCUAUCUGUUGGGACGAUGUCGGAGAACGCUGGUUGGUAGGGCCAGACUUAGUAGAGGACGCGGAGGCAAAGAUCCGCAUUGCGAGAGAGCGGCUUCAGACUGCACAGAGUAGACAGCGGAGCUACGCGGACCAGCGGAGGCGUGACCUAGAAUUUCAGGUCGGUGAGCAUGUGCUGCUCAAGGUGUCGCCUUCCAGGGGAAUCAAACGGUUCGGUUUGCNNNNNNNNNNNNNNNNNNNNNNNNNNNNNNNNNNNNNNNNNNNNNNNNNNNNNNNNNNNNNNNNNNNNNNNNNNNNNNNNNNNNNNNNNNNNNNNNNNNNNNNNNNNNNNNNNNNNNNNNNNNNNNNNNNNNNNNNNNNNNNNNNNNNNNNNNNNNNNNNNNNNNNNNNNNNNNNNNNNNNNNNNNNNNNNNNNNNNNNNNNNNNNNNNNNNNNNNNNNGAUAGAAUCCACGUUCCCAUCCUCGCCGCGCGCGUCACCUGCACUUCUGAGCUCGCCGCGCCGCCGGAGUGGCUGAUCCAUCAUUCUCAUCUCUCAUCUUUCUCUCUCCCUUCUCCUCUGGGUUAAGUGUAGGCCCGGCUGCGCCUCCUCAGACUCUCCUGGAAUUUCACCUGUGCUCCGGAACCUCCGCCGACAGGCCGCCGUGCGGCGCGCGCCCGCUGCUCCUGCGCUGCUGCAACCAGGCGAGCCAGCCGAGAGCUGGUUCAGCUGCGCCAUAGCGUGCGCCCUCACUGCCGAAACCCUCUCGCCGACAUCUCCUGUGCCCGGGCGCCCUUUCCUUCCGGUCGCUCGCGCCCCGACGCGCCGCCGUCGCCGCCUUCGGCCUGCUGCGGCCGCCAGCCCGAGCUCUGCUGUUGUGUUGCGGUCUCUUCCCCCGCCGCGGCUGGUCCCUCGAGGAGUGCCUCCGACCUCUUAACUGCCACCCUCCUCGCCGUCUCGCGACCUCCCGGCCGCCGCCUGUGGGCCGGAUUAAACCCGCCCGAGCCCGGCUCUCUGCGGGCUCGGUGCUCCGCGACGCCGCUGCGCUCUCGUCGCAACCGAGUGAGCCCAGUGUUCCUCACUUCCCUCGCACCCGACCCUGGCCCGCUGCGCGCGCGUCCGCCGGAAAGCCGGCCGACAAAGGUUGCUCGCCAAAUCGCCCGAAAUAGGACUUUGCUUGGUGUUUCGUUUGGUUUGGCUUUUUCCCGAGCUCCCCGUCUCUACGGAAGGGAGCAUGAAUGAUCUGGCAAUUUGCUGAUAUAGUGCUCACUUUUGGUUCGUCGGGAAAGGCCUCGUCCGCGUUUGCGAUGUCGCUCCGUUCACAGCCCUUAUUUGUCUGCUGUUCUUCAGGUUUGUGCUUGUUUCGGGGACUCUAAGGUCUUUCCGAUGCCUCCGAGGUGAGCAGGGUGACCGCUGGUCAGUGCUGAUAACACAAUAGCUCACCCUUCCAGUGGAUAGGAAUUGGUCCGGUUAUUCUGUUCGGGCAGCCGAUCCUGUUCCUAUGACGCGGCGUCUAUUCCGCUGAACCUUCGGGUGCCCCGGCGCAUUGUCUCCGCGAGCCGCUUGGCUCCUUCGGAUCGGAGCACGCGACGCUCGUGUAACGUCGAGACUACUGUCAUUUACGUGCUCUAACAGACUUGAAUGUCUUUUCGGUUGCGGAACACCGCUUGAUCCUCAAAAUUACUAAAAUGAUGAGAUUUUUAUUAAGUAGAGGAUUUUGUAAUGCAUUGUGCUUUGCGUGCAGCUGUGGCAGUGUGUGGGAGUUGUAAGACCUUUGGAAUUGAUUUGUCCAUUGUCCGUAGCUUUCGCUGGAAAUGGUAGGCGGUCGAUUCGGUGCACUUUUUUCCGGGGAAAUCGGCCGAAAAGAACGCGGUUUCUGCGGUCGGAUUCCUUUCGCGACGGUGUUGGACUUCGUGUUUUGCGCAUUAAGGGGUGGGGGGGGGGGGGGGAGGGGGGGGGGGGCGGGGGGGGGGCCUUUUGCGGUCACAUCAUCAUUUUGUGGUUCGUUUAUGAUGAUGAGCGAUUGCGGUGGUCCUGGUCGAAAUAAACCAUGUUCGGAACCGAUUCUAAAUUACCGGCCAUAAUUGUAGGUGUUAUCUGUGUUUGCCUGCCAAAACACACAAUUGGAGUGCUUUGGGGCAGCAGGUGACUCGUUGAACAGUCGUUGAGUUCGGGACAGUCUUAGUGGGUCCCGAUCGGCGUCCCGUUGUGGUUUUUCGGGACUUUCCGGUGGGGAGUUACGGUAAUCGUAUUUGGAAACCGAUCUUUUGUGAAUGUUUCGGGGUUUGUGGAUACUGUGAUUAUGUUUUUGGUUAGAUCUAACGCGCGGUGGACCUCAUAGGUCACUGCUCACAAUUCUUGUUGCAGUCAAUAGACAGACCUUGACAUCCGCAGGUGGGUUACUUUUCGAUCCGACGUCGGUAAGUGUGCACGCUUGGGAUCGUUUUUACCCUUCACGUCUAUGUUUUUACUAUCGCAUAGUAUUAUUGACCUUGCACGCCUUGUUAUAGUGUAUAUCACCUACGCGUUUUGGCAAGCUUAUAUUUCUGAGUUAGAUAGAGCUAGUUCUAUCUAUUAUGCGUACUUUGAACCUUAUUGUCUGUGUUGCAUCAGAUAUCUUUGACCUUAGUUUGCGUCGAUUUUGUUGCAUUUCGCGUAUCUGUUGAUCUAUGGUUCGUGUUGUUGUUUGCAUACCGUAUCUUUACCUGGUUGGUUCGGUUUUCGUCACUUACGUUUCCGGUACUGCUGAUUGUUCGGUUCUAUCUCGUACCUCGUCGAUGACCUUGAGGCGUAUAUCCUAUAGGGGUGUGAUUGCCGUUAGCACCGACGGGAUGAAUUAUAGUUUACAAGGUGCCAGCUAUUUGGCAUAUUUGUGACCUAGUCAGCUCGCUUCGUGAGUCCUGUCGUUUGAUGUACCUAUAUGUCGGUUACGCCUGAGUGGGUUCGGAUGCUCAGGGUAGUCGCCGAAGGUGAAUUCAGAGAAUUCUAUUGAUAUAUGCAUGGUGACUCUAUUGUUCGGUUCGUCAUGCAUAUAUGUUAGUUACAUAGUCAAAUCAGUGCUUGUAUACCUUCCGUAGCAGUUGAGUGUGUCCUCUUAGUUGACUUGAGUGAGUCGUUUCUUCGUGCUUCUCUAUAAAGUUUUUGAUGAUAGUUGGUCGUUUGGCCCGCCGAGGGCGGUGAUUGUCGCUAGUUCCGACGUUUUGGCUAAUUGAUUAUAUCUGGCAAUUGAUCGCAUCACAGCUAGAGUGCAUUCAUGUACAUCCGGCAGUUACUGAUCCCGCAUUGGUGUUCUUUUCCGGAAAAGUGGUCGUAUAUCGACCCGUGAGCCCAGCGGUGUUCUCUUUGCUAGGGUUACAUGCCAGGUGGAGCAGGUUGUGGCUUUGCCUGAGGUACCUUAGACCGCACGGCGGUUUAGAUUGGUACUUUGAUACUUGUCGGUUUGUCGAUAUAGCUAUAAGUAGUGGUUGAUAGCAUACAUACUCUUAGUUCUUCAUUACAUUGUCUUGCUACUAUAGCUUCUAUAACAUGUAUAAUUUAUUGUUCUCAUGUACAAGAGCGGUAGUUUACUUCUUUCAUAUAUAUGUCUCUUUCAUUAUUAUUCUACUGGAUUUUCUACUGACUCUCUGUAACUGUUGUUUAACCUCUCCUGAUCCUGGAUGAGUACUCCUCGCCUUCUAUCGGCUUAAGGACCACUGGGAGGGAGACAUGUUUAAUUGUUCUUCACCUCCCCACCAUUUUUCAGGGUAUUGCGGCGAUGAGUUUUGGGAACUUAGACGUGGAGUACUUCGUAUCGGAUCGAUAGACGGCUUGCCCGACCGCAGGUUACGAUUUCCAGUGUUUAUAUCCUUACUAUUCCGUGUUCAUACCGCUUACGUAGUUUAUAUGGUUCGUUAGAUGUACAUAGUUGAUGUUUUGAUAAUGUUGUGACUGGUUGAAUUUGUGGGAUUUGUAGGAUUGUGAUUGGUUUAUGGAUCUUUUCUUCAGUUUGGGAUGUUUCUGUAUAUUGUGGUUCUCCGAUUUGUAUUUAUGGAUUUACUCAAUCGGGUUUCUAUCCAACCUGAGUAGUCAUUUCCAACACUAGAGUUCGCGUGUUGGGAAUACAUUUCAAAAGAUUUUUGCAUGAUUUCAGUAUGAAAUGAUUAGAUUUUAAAAACAAAAGCUUCCGUGUGGGGAGUGUCAGUCUCGGGAACCGAUACCAAUUGGUCCGAUCGUCGAGCACAGUCACGAACCGAACGGACAAGUUGCCCCAUCUCGCCCAGGCUCAUCCUCAUGUAAAUAAAUUCAACAGAAUUGCCUAGCGGAAAUCAUUACACAACGCUAAUCACGAAGUAAAGCAAUAGCCAUGAGUGACAAAUACAAAAACUAAACAUUCAUUUGUACUAUGAUGCGUUUUUUGAUCAUAACAAUACAUCCAACUUGUAUUUUUCGAAUGUCCUUAACAUUUCGUUUCAACAUUUCUUUCUGAACAUUCACAUUUACCCAGAAAUACACAUUAAAUUCUUUUCUUAACAUGAUUUACAUCAUAUACAAAAGUAUUAUACAAUAAGGUACGUUUACUCAAGAAUGAAACCCCGAUCUUUGGUGGCCUCUUGACUACAGGCUUCGGAUAACUUUACUCGUCGUAUCGCCGGCAUCGCUCUGCUUCCGGCUCUGUGAAAUAUAGUGGGGUGAGAAACUACAACAAAUUCCGGAGUGGGUUCGGCCUCAACAUCACCUGGACUUCUUCACUAGAGACUAACUCAGGCAUAAUAGAAAGGAAACAGAUAUAGUAACCAAUCUAUAACAUGAUGCUAAUAUGCCUGAACAAAUAGCAAGAAAUAUGCUCAACAUUAAACAUAUGCAGGUUAUGCAAGUUCUUUCGUUCUUUACACUUUGCACUUUACACUUUAUUCUUUGCUCUUUGUUCUUUACUCUUUAAUCUCAAGGCUAACCCGGGGGUGUCGCCACAUUAACUUGCUUCACAUUAAGUCCAUCAUCGCAGGAACUCACCCGCUAGGACCGUCCUUCGGGUUUACUCCAACCCGUGAUGCAUAACUCCGGAGCGCAUCGCCCGAGGGGGAGCGACCGCCCUCGAGCACGGAACUCAUAGCAAGUAUGAUCAUAUCCUUAACUCAAAGGAUUUAUAAGUUCAAUCUUGACUUUACACUAGCUCUAGUGUUCUUUACAUCACUUUAUGUUGCAAACUCAUGCAAUCGUUGUUCUUUACUUUUUCUUUUACUUUUGCUAACUCUAGCAAUUACAUUCUUUACAUUCUUUACUUUUAGCUACCUCUAGCACGUCGUGUUCUUUACUCCCCACAUUACCUUAACUUUAGACAUUGUCAUUUUCACCAUUCCUUACAUCACGUUAGUUCUUUGCAUCACACUAACUCUAGUGUCUCUUUACUUUACAUUUUCAAAUGCCACUCGAUCUACGUCAUAGUGUCACUCUGUUCUUUUGCUCACUUUGGGUGCUCACUUUUCUCUCAUGCAUACAUAGGGUUUUCGACAUUCAUAAGAUUCUCAUUCAUCAUAUUAUGCAAGUUGUACUCACAAUCAUGCAUCAUUACAUUUCAUCAUUACUUUACCCUAAAAUGCAUGCAACAAUAUAUAUACACAUGCUCAAAUGAAUGACACAUUAGGCAUAGAGAGAAGUUCAAUGAGUUUGAGAAGCACCACCCACCUCGUAGGCUUUCAAAGGUGCUCCGACGAUUUUCUUGGGAUUUUUAGACACCCGGUUCGCUACCUGCGGCAAAUCGAAGCCCUAUUAGGCCAUUUUGCUCAUAUCUUUACCUCGGCCUUUCGUAACGCUAAUCCGAGCGCACCAACGCGUCGGAAAUACCCCCAAUUAGGUUUUUGAAGGGUCAAUUUCACUUAGAAACCCUUAUGAGCAAAAGCCCAAAUUUGGGUGCCCUAGCUCCAAUGCAUGUGUAAACCUAGGGUUUGAUCUCAUUGGGAAGCAAAAGUAGCUUCAUUAUACUCUAAAUAGUCCCUUAGAACCACUCCUAACUCAUUCCAAACCCUAGUUUGGAUUUCACCAUUAGAGGAGGGUUGAAGCUCACCUUGAGCUCAACCAUGGUUUUGAUCUUUAAAGAAGCAAAAAGAAAGCUUCAAAUACUCCAAAAGUUCCAUAAAAACCAUCUUCAUUCUAAUCCAAACCCUAGUUUGGAAUUAAACAUGAGAAGGGGCAAAGCUUACCUCCAGGCUUGCUCCUUUCUUGCUCUAGAGAGGAAGAAGAUGAAGCCUCUUUACUCCUUGAUCUUCUUCUUCACUUUCUUCUCCUUCUUUUCCUUCUUUUCUUCCUUUCUUCUUCUUCUCCUUUGUCUUCUAGAGAGAGAGAGGGAGAGAAGAGAGUGUGAGAGGGUGAGGAAAUGAGAGAAAUAUCUCAUUUGCCCUCACACAUAGCUAUUGGGUUGCAAAAUUGCAGCUAAACUCCUCAGCUUUUAUCUCUGUGCAUUGCCUGGACUGGGCAGUUUUCGCAGGCAGAGACCAGUCUCCCCGAGCAGGGACCGGUCCCCGAAGGUCCACCCUGCGCAGCUAGAGCUGCUGCGCGCAAUGCGACCGGUCUCUAUCUGGUGGGACCGGUCUCCGGGGGACUGGUCUCUCAGACAGAGACCGGUUCCUGAGAGCUGAUCUUCCAAGACUUAGCCGAUUUUUCGGCUGUCUCAUUUCAUACGCGUUCGGGGACCGGUCUCUCCCACCAGGGACCGGUCCCCGAGAGCUGAAAAUCUGCAGUUUUGCAGAAUUUGAUUCUUUAGCUCUCGAAAACCUUUCAUAACUCACUUUUGGUCAUUUUAACACCUUCAGACUUUCCGAAGUGUACCAUCCUCGCACUUUGGUCAAUUUGACUAAAGUUCGACAUCUUUAUUUUCCGAAUUUUCGGUAUAUUACAGGAGCACUUUUAAAUAGGAUGAUUGUUGUACUGUGCAUUGCAUCAUCCACCGCCUAAGGAGUGUUUAGAGGCAUGCAUCAUCUCUAAGGAUUGUUAGCUGUAUGAAAAUGCAUAUCAUGAAUUGGUUGUUGUUUGGUAAAUGUAGGUUGUGGUUGUGAUCCUGUUGUAUCCGUUGGUACGCCGUGCAAAUACAAAGGAGACUCUGCCCGAGUGGACAGAGGAACUUUGUAUUUGUGGCGGGUCUGUACGUCACGUGGGCCAGGUUGAAAAAAAAAAAAAAUGGCACGUUUUCCGUAACUCUGUUUUUAAAAGGCUUUGAAAAUCGGCCCCGGGGCGUGACAGGACUACUAUAUGUUCAACAAGAAUACUUGUUCGAUAGUUUACCAAAUCACUUGGCUAGCCCGGAGGCUCGCUCUCAAUCUCACGUCUCAAUCCUACGGCUAUCCUAUAGGUGCCACACCUACUCAAUCACACUGGUGAGGAUCUGCUCACUCACCCGACUCACAAUCUACUCUCUACGGGGAGGAUCCGCUCACUCGCCCGACUCAACACAGGUACCACAACCCAAUCUCUAUCUCACAGGUGAGGAUCAGCUCACUCACCCGACUCACCUGGGGACGAUCAGCUCACUCGCCCAAGACCGUCUGCGGGACCCAAAAGGCUAUUCCUAUCGUGUGACAACUCCGGAGUGCACUGCUUGUGUGGAGCGACCACCCCAAGCUUUGAACAGACAUAUCAGUAUGAUCAAAUCCCUAUCACUGAGGAUACCUUACCACUCUAGACAACAUCACUCGGGAACUAGUUCAUUCCUACGUUCAACACGAAACAAGUGUUUCCUCUAUACUUUACUUAUCAUGCUACUCGUCAAGUUAUUUACUUAUCUAGAUGCCACUCGUUCUGUGGUUCUCGUUAACACAAGGUUAAGUUCGUCAUUUACUUUACCACUAUAGGGUUCUAGGUCGCAGUUCCCCUAUUCUCAUGCAUCCUAAGUCAAGUGCCAAACUUAUAUCAAUCUACACUACUAAGGAUCAUGCAAGAAUUAAUGGAAAUGCAAUUAUUUAAUACCCUAUUAUUCAUAAUAGUUACACUAGUCCAAAUGCCACUCGUUCUUUGUGUUCAACACUAACUAGAGUUUAAUCCACAUUAAUCAUGUCAUUAUAGGGUUUCACAACACUAUGUCCCAAUCUCAUGCAUACUAGGUACAAGUAUUAAGCAAAUAACAUUACACUACCACUAGCAUGCUAUAACAUGUAACAAUACCAUCUAGCACCCUAUAAUGCGAUAUCACAAUAUGCAACUUGAUCAAUGAUAACUUAGACAUAGGGAGCAGUUCAAUUGCUUCGGGAUGGUCACCACCCACCUUUUAUAGUGUUCUGAUUGCUCAUUGUCACUCGCAAUCGGCCUCCCGCAGCGCACGCCGCUCGACUCGACCCAAUUCACACGCGACCAUCGAACGACCUCCGAUCCGCAAUCCGGAAAUUAAAGGUCUUCGGUUUCUUGUCACGAUGCUCGGAAUUUGAUCUCGUGAUUUAUGGACGCCACCUCGGCCCUCCAGGCGGAAACGAAGGCCGGAAGGUCGUUUUCUUCAAUAUCUUUGCAUCGGCUCGACGAAUCGCCGAACCGACUUCGCCAGCACGUUUAAACACCUAUCAAUUAGGUUUACAACCAUCCAAAUGAGAUCAAAACCCUAAAUUUCUCAAAAUCCCCAUUUUAAACCCUAGAUCACAACUAUGCAAAAAUCCAUCAUGUAGCCUCUUGAUUUAAGUAUCAAUCAACUCUUUAGCAUGCUAGGGUUCAUUUAAAUCCAAUUCUAGAGCUUACAAAUGGAGUUCCAAAGAUCUACCAUUAAAGCCCUUAAAACUUACCUCAACUAGCUAGCAAGAAGAUGAAGAAGAUGGUGUUGGCUCUUCCUUUGAUCUACUUCUCCUUCCUUUCCCUCUUUGCCUUCCUCUCCUUCUUCUCCUUUCUAUAGAGAGAGAGGGAGAGAGUGUUUUAGGGUUUUGGUUUGGAGAAAAUGAGAGAGAAUGAGUUCUCUCCACUCCUAUAUACCCAACUAAUGGUAGAAUUGCCAAAACCCCCCUCAACAAUGCAAAUACUGCACUACCCUCGCGGGGCCAAUUUUUGUAUAAGGGACCGGUCCCUUAUACAAAUAGAGAUCGGUCCCCGAAGGUCCAGAAUUCCAGCAUUUUUAGGACUUAGCCAAAUUUUCAGCUUUUUCACCGUUUCUUCUCCGUUUUUGCUCGUUUGACCUCCGAUUCUUUUCAAAUCAAACCGAGACUCUCCAAACAUGUUUUCAAGCGUAUUUCCAUCAUCUUUUCAUCCACGCUAAUGCCAGAUUUAGUCCACGGACCAACAUAGCCUUUCCGGUCCUGUUUCCGCGCCUACGUGCACUGAAUCGCCCGAAUGCUCCCGAACUUCACCGAACUUCACCGGAACCUUUCCAAUGGCUCUCCAACCAAAUGUACACCAUAACUUCAUGAUUUUAGAAGUCCGGUACCUUACAUCCUCCCCUCCUUAAAAGGAGUUUCGUCCCCGAAACUAACCACUUCUAAUCCAACUCAUACCUCAACUCAACUUAUUGAGUAAUCGAGGGUUCCAAUGCACUUCGCACUCCGGGGUGGCCUUUCACUCAUCGGAACUAUCCAAAGGCCCACUCUGGAGGAUGUGAGACCAAGUUCACUCACAUUUGCUAAGUGUAACAUCGAUAGUGCAUUACUAGCACACAAGGAAUCUCUCCUUGCACCACUCUCCUAAUCGAGGAACACACUUCGAUUCGAUCAUCGGCAUUGCUUAGAGGCAAUGUCAUUGCUGCAUCGAUCAAUCGCGAGUACUACCAUGACAUCCGGAUCUUUGCUCUAUUGCGAGAUGGCACACUUCGGCACAUCUCCAAUGUUAAUCCUCAAGAAAGCAAUAUUCUCAAUUCUAUGUAGCUAUCCGGUAUUCAAGUGUCUCCAAGAGACCACUUUACCCUAUAUUUCAAUUGCCACUUCCAACAUCAAUUCGUUCUUACAACGAAUUCACACGAACACCCCGUUUGUGAAUCCCAGCCAAACUCCUCAACAUAGUUACCGGCCAAACCGAUUACCUCGGUUUCCACAGGUGGACUAAUAGUCACCAAUUCUACGUAGGCCAUAGCCUAUACCGUCUCGACACUCGUAACGUCUCUCGCUCGCAAGCGUUGACCCAAUCAUAACUGGGCGAAAUUCUCACUUCAGAAUUCGUACACACUCCAACCAGGAGCAACUAAGACCCCAAACCACGUCACAUCUUCGGGUUGGGUCACUAUCGCACCUUUAGUGCCGCCUUGAGAUCCAAUACGUGACAUUUCUCGCUCCCGAAUCUAAAUUCGGACUACCACCCUAACCAAAAUCCUUGCCCUCGACAACUCGAGGUAGGUAACGCACUAUCACAACUCAUGCAUGCUGGGGGUAACUACACCGACCCAUGCCCUGGUCUCUACUAUGCUUAUGAAUAAACAGUAGCAAACGACCACAACUACAAUGCAUGCAAUGCACUCAUUUAAUAUCAUGCAGAGGUAUAUAUUUGCUUCAACUAAACCAUACCUGCCACGACAUCAUCCGCAACUGUAGGUUCCUCGACCCGAGCGGCGUACACCCGACCACUUGGAGCAGAUCGGGUCGCCUCAGGCUGACGUGGCGCCAAAGCACGUCCGAUUGAAGCAACAAUCAGUGGAGCUCCUUCAUAAUGGCCUGGAAUUGCCGGAGCAAAUGCGACAGACGGGGCAACCAAAGCCUUUCUCGGGCAAUCACGGGCCAUGUGCCCCGCCUGGCUGCAUUCAUAACGUCUCCCACGGCGAUGCUCACAUUGCAUCACUAGAUGGUCUCCACCGCAGAAGAUGCACCGUUGCGCUUCACGGCCCUCAGACCGCUCUUGCGGGUACCUCGGGGGCUUCUUAGAACUCGACCGUCCUCCCGAACCACCGCCGGUCCGCUUCUUCCCCUUUUCCCUCUCGAACUCUUCGUGCUCCUCGCGAAUACACACAUUGCCGUGCUCAACCCACAGAGCACGGUCCAACACCUCUGUGAACGUAUGAAACUUGAAGGCAUGCACCAAUCGAAAAACAUCGGGCCGGAGUCCCCGCACAAAAUACUCCGCCCGGUCCUGUUCGGUCCUAGCCACAUCCGGUACGCAGUUCAGGAUAUGCGUGAAUUCCCGCUUAUACUCGCGUACCGUGCAGUUACCCUGCUUUAGCUUUCUCUUGUCACUGUCGGGGAAGUACUCUAUGAACAUCAGUCCCCGAAACUCUGCCCAAUCAAUUGGGAGUAAAUUCGGAGAUCUAUCUUGCUUUACCCUCCGCCACCACACUCUAGCCCUCUUAUCGAAACAAUGAGCGGCCAAAGUUACCUUAUCUUGCUCGAGGGUAUAGAUAUCCUCAAACAAGGUUUCCAUUGUGGCUAACCACGUCUCCACACUACUACAAAAUCAUCAUUUAGCGUCAUUUACUCUGCAGCAUUUAUCUAAAUGAUGCUAAUUAAUAUAUUUAACGGCAUUACUUGAUAAUUGCCGCUAAAUUUAAUAGUUUAACAGCAUUUUACUAUUAAUGCUGCAAAAUAACAUAAAUUAGCAGCAUAAAUUAGUAAAUGCCGCUAAUGUUGCCGGCAUUUUCUAAAAAAUGAUGCUAAAUGCAAUAAAAUAGCAGCAUUUAUUGCUAAAUGCCGUCAUUAAACAAUAUAUAAUUAUUAAUAUAUCUCAUUUUCUACUUAACUUUAAAAUUUUUAAAUUAAAGUUUGAAAAUUUAGAAUUUGAAUUUUAAAAAUGUGAAACUUAUAAUUUAAAAACUUAGAACUUAUAAUCUAAAAUUUUAGAUUUUAAAUUUUAAAUUCUAAAAAUUUUAAUUUUAAUUUUUUACUUUUUUAAUUUUUUAAUUUUUUAAUAUUAUAUUAAACAAAAUUUAAAAUUUAAAAUUUUGAGAGUUAAAAUUUGAGAUUUGAAAACUAAAAAUUUAAAUUUAAUAUCUAAAUUGUUAAUUUUCAAUUUGUAAUUUUAAAAUUGAAAAUUUAGAGUUUAAAAUUUAAAAUUUUAAAAAAUUCAAAUAUAAAUAUAAAUUUAAAUUGAAUUUGAAUUUAAAAUUUAAAAGUUGAAUUUAAAAUAAAAAUUGAAUUUGAAAAUUUGAGUUUCCAAAAUUUGAAUUAAUUUUCGAAAAUCAAAUUUUAACUGUUUCUGAUUUUAGGUCUCGAAAAUAAAAAAAAAACAAAUUCGAAGUUUUAACUGUUUCUAACCCUAAAAAUUUUACCCAUGUCGAUCGUUCCCCCUCAUUUUUCCCCCAUUUUUUUUCCUAGGAACCGCCGCCCACCUCCCCUUUCCUCUCAUCCGACUCUUCUUCCUCAACACCUCCUCCUCUUUCCCUCCCCCCUCACCUCCAUCACCCGCGCCACCUCCUCCCACUUGUGCAUCGCCGCUUCCAGCUCCGCGCCCGCGGCCUCCAGCUGUGCGGCCUCCAGCUCAGCGGCCGCCACUUCCAACUCCGCGCGCCGCCUCCUCCAGCUUCGUAGCCGCCGCCUCCAGCUCCUCACGCCGUCGUCUCGAGCUUCGCGGCCGCCGCCUACAACUCCAAAACCCCUGCUCCUCUAUCGAUCUGAGGUACUCCUCUCUCUCUCUCUCUCUCUCUCUCUCUCUCUCUCAGAGUUGUGACCUCAAUUGUUUAAUUUGAGAUUCGAGAUUAGCUUGUCUUGCUGCCAAAGAUCUAUUUUUUUCUUCCAACACAUCUAAAUAUUCCUACAACUCGAUCAAAUACUGAAGUCAAACAACUAAUUACAUAAUAAAGACAAAGCAACAUUUGUUUCUCAAUACAAAAGAACAGACAAAAGUGAAAAAAUAUAGGAUUAGUUACAAAGUUCGACCCUGAAGCUUCACCCCAAUUUUCAAUAUCAAGCUCAUAUUUCAAUUGUAACAACUUAAUCUCAAAAGUUUAACCCCCAAUUUGAAUUCAUCCUCGAGGAUUCAACUUUAACCCUGAAGUUUGGCCUCGAUUUAAUUUUUUUCCUAAAGCCAUCCUCCAAGUUUUGAUGUAAAAUAAGGAAGUUUAAAGAUAGUAAUGACAUGGUACCUCUGUCUAUGGACUAAAGGGAGGGCAUAAUAGCUCGGUAAAACAAACUUCAUAGGUUAAAUUGUUGGCAUUAAAACAAUGAGCCAAAAUUAAAAAAUAGGUCAAAUUCAGGGAAGAAUUUGAUAGUAAAUCGUUCAAAAAUAUAAUGAUGUAGCCAAACUCCUGAUAUUUUUUUGGAGUUAGGAAUACACUAAAGCAUAAAAGCUCACAGCCUCACAGAUCAUUUAGUUCAUUUAGUGCAACAACUCGUGCAGAACCAUUGCUAUAUCCAUCCUUUUUGGGGAUAUUAACAUUCCCUGCAUGGCUUCCAAAACGUGAAUUAUAUAUCUCCAGUAGCAUGCCGUUGUAUUUUAGCAAGUGAUUGUUCAGAAGUUACCUGUGAUAAUCAUCAUCAGCAAAUUUAACUCUUUUCUAGGAAACUUCUUGCAAGACUAUUGACUACAUUUACAGAAGGAGAUCAAAGGAGUCUCAUGUAAACCUUAUGUAUGAAAGGGUGUAAACAGAAAUUAGAAUAAUCAGUUAUUUAAUUACAGAGUAUAUCUAUAUAUAACCAUAUAUUUAAGAUCCUGAGGUAUAAAACCAUAACAAAAAAAAAACCCAACGAAGAUAGCAAAAGAACCGCAAGUAUCAUGAUGACAUCAAAAAUACCAAAUACCACAUUGAAGGCUAGCCGGUCGGACAACAACUUGAGCCUUGAGUACAGUCUCAGUGAAAACAAAAUUAUUAUGCUGAUCAUACCGGACUGAUAAUUUUUCAUUCAAUAAAGUUAACCUACCAACAAGCUGCAUAUACAUCUUAACGCACAUAAAGUAUUAGAAAGAUUGUCUUCAGCAGAUAAGAGAUCCUUGAUAGUGUUCAAAAUUUUGGAUUACUUAUAAGCAUUCUGAAUACUUACUUUUGUUUCCAGACUUCUUCUCAAAGAUUCAUUCUCUUCAUGUAAUUUAGAAAGCUGCUCCUGUCAGACGUUAAAUAAAAAAAGAAAUAAAAUAAAAUAAAUAGCUGCCUUAGAGAUAGCUUUCAAAACAUUUAUGACAAUCGGCAAACACUAUUGCCCUAGAACUCGUGGUUUGAAAAAUCAGAAAAAGAAAAAGGAAAAAAAAACAGCAUUACAAGGCAAGUGAAUAAAAAUAUUGGCGCUUUCAAAAUCCAAUUUAGGAUAUCUUAAAAAUCCCUAUCAUUCACAACUAACAAGAUAAUUAAAGCUGAUAAGUAAAGGCACUAAAUCAUCUCAAACUACAGAAACUUUGCGAAAAAGGUUAAGUACCUCUCAUAUGUUAGAAAAUUGCGUACGGUAAAAACACAGCGAAAAAGAAAUCAAACAAAUUUGAUUUUUGAAAACUCUCGAGAUCAAAUCUCAAAAACCACGCAAUUAGGAUCCCUCAUGUUCUUUAAGAUUAAAGGAGAAAAACAAGAUCGAAUCUUUACCUUUUUCGUGGAUAAAUCUUCACCUCAAUUUGAUGAUCGUGGAAUUCGGUUCUCUUGAAGCCGCACACGCGUCCGGCCUCUAUAGGUAUCCACACGAGGUUCUUGAUUUGAUGGAUGUCCUCACCGGGGUGCUAGCUCCCUUGCAAAAGGACGUCUUUCUUGCUAGAAGAUGGAAGAGAGAAGAGAGGAUAGAUGACGGCUAGGGUUUUCUAAAACUCCCGUAUAUUAUAUAUAGGAAUAUAAUCCUAUUCCUAAUAAUAUAAUGACAAUUAAGGAUAAGUAUAAAUCUAGAUUUAAAUUUAUCUUUUCCUUAAUUGGUUAGAUCGAUCAAAUCCUAAUUUGAUUCGACUUUAAUUUUAUAUUAAUUUGAUCUUAUCAAAUUAAUAAUGCAACAUUUGCACAUAAGUCCUCUUAUAACUUACUAACUAUUAGUAAGUCCUCUCUUGUAACAUUUACACCUUAAUACGACUAAUUUGUAAUAAUUACAAAUUAGUCCAAUUAUCAUUAUAUUGACAAUUAGGUCCUCCGGCGAUUCAAUAAUCGCGAUCUAGCUAUCCGAUCAAUCACAACCUCUUAUGUGUGUGACCCUAUAGGUUCUAUUCUAUCCGGUAGUGAGAUAUAUUUUGAUCACUAUCAACAAUAUCACUGAAACUCCUUUCAAUGGAUCGGAAUAAUUCCAACUCAGCCCAAUGAGAAUUAUCGAUCAUCUAGAUAAUUCUCAUGAGUCUCACAAUCCACCAGUGACGCCUAGCAGCAUGUAGUGGCAUUCCAGUAGAAUGGAAUACUGAACCUCUUGGUGCAGUUACCGUGUGAUACAAUCCUUCUAUCAUGAGUCCCGACUUGACGGAGGCUAUGGAAUAACUCGUCAAACCCCAUCGUCUGUCAUAUGUUAAAUUUAUUCGACUCGAGUUUCUAAUAUCGGAAACCCUUUUCCGCUAUUUAUUCUGCCCUGGCCAAGGUCUUCUAAACUCGGUCUCAUAAAUCACAUAGGACUAACACCCCUAUCUACCAAGGGAGAUAGAUUCCAUCUAAGUGCGCACCCUAUUCCUACAAUGAACCUACUGCAGCCAACAUGCAUCGCAAGGACCCGAAUGGCUAGAGGCCAAGUGUAUGUACAGUCAAACUACAGUAACCUCAUUGUGAACAGCCGAGGCACCGCAGGUCAAAGGACCAGUCAUACUACUGCAACAAUUGAGUAAGUCACUGACGAGUGAGUAGACAUCUAAGUGACUUCUUGCGUUGGUCACGUCCGGUACCCUUGUUCUCUAACAACCACCUGCAUAUUCGCUUCAGUGUCCCCACACUGUCGACUCGAGACUCGUCUACCUAAAAGGGAAGCGACCUAUGCACCAAUCUCACUGGAUCAAUCACCGUCCCCGUGAUGAUCCAUUGAUCGGGAGCAUUUAGGAAUUAACCAUCAAUGACGCAUGUCUCAAAUUCUCAACUCUUGAGAAUAUAUGUCAUCAUCUUAUUAAUUCCUUGGACGAUUCAUGGACACAUAUACAACAUGAAUGGAAAUAAAAACCCAAAGUUAUUCAUAAUAUUUUAAAAUCAAAUACAAAAUUAUGUCCUAGAAAGAAUACAUGUGUCGGCCUGGUUGGCUUCUAGGGCAUACAUCUAACAUCAUAUUCUCAAUUGUCAGCAUAAGACUUAUAAACUUAUCAGAAUAGCAUUUAUUGCCAAUAAAAUUGGCUACAGGUUAAUGUGAAGAAACAUAAACAACAGCACAAUCAACCUGCUUACAACUUUUAAAGCUUCAGUUUCACAAGAAAUGACAGCUAAGUUCACAGAAUGAUAAUAUCAGAUUGUUAUAAUAAAGUCUACCGUACUAAAACUGUCAAAAGACAUACAACAUUACAUGACAAGUAAACAUAUAGAAGCAAGAAACUUCCAACUUAAAAAAGGACAAUAAAAAGUUUGUCACUUAAAAAAGGACCAUACUGCAACAACUAUGCUUUUAACAUGCAAAGAUAUCUUUUCAAAAUGGACACACUGGGAUAAGAUGUCCUUAUUUACUAGACAACUAGUUAUCAAGUUUGAGUGACAAAAUUGAUGGCGGAAAUGGGAAUCCUGUUAGAUUCCUUUCAUAUGAUCCCAAUUUGAACUCUACUCACAGCAAGGAUGGAAGGCAACUGGAAUUAUUCUAAUAUAUUUUAAGUGCCAAAGGGAUUGUUUCAUUCCAUCUUUUAUUCUUUGGCCUUAGUUAAGCAAUCCACUUAGUUAAUAACCUCUCAAUCAUCCCACUCGGCAAUAAAGGCUCUUCAAAUAGAUAGAGAGAUACAAUUUUCAAAUUACAGCUGUAAAACAAGAAACCCAUCCAUCAACUAAUGUAGAAGCAAGGGUCCAAUAUCGCUAGAACAACAAUGGCGAAAAAGGUACACAGAAAUAAAAAGGGAACAUGAAGCAUCAAGAAGUUUAAAAAAGUUCUUAUCACAUAUACUACAAAACAUCACCUCAGCGAAGGUCUUCCCAAGCGGCGAUCGCGUGCAAAUUUAUUGUCAAAUUGCAAUCCCAAGAGAAACUGCAUUUUCAAAUGUUGUUUAAUAGGAUCAGCCGGUUAGUUUAAAGGUAGAGUGAGAGAAAGAGAAGGAUGCCCUUUUAAUUGCUGAUUCAAGUGAUUUUAUAUCUCUAAACCUGUAUGAGCUACAGUCUACCUAAUUAAUUUUAAUCAGAUAACUUGAUGAGAAUACAAGAAAAAAAAAAAAUCAACUCCCUUUUCCACUUGUGUGCAUCUAUCAUUGUGUUUUAUCAAUACAACCAUGUAUCUGUUGAAGGAACAAUAUAAAAUGCUGCAGCUAUUAAAAGCUACAGUUUUAAUACUCAGCAACUUGCCUAAAUUAAGACGUUUUAGCAUUAAAUGUCAACCAACAACCUGCGAAUGGAAAGAAAGUCCAAACCAACCUUUCAAUUUGAUCAUAAACCAAUCAAAGUGUUAGUCAUUUGGAUGAUCUUAAGCAGUUAAUUGUAAUUUAGCAUGAAUAAACCAAACGAAGAAGUCUGACAGAAGAUAACGAAUAAACAUUGAAAUGUGAUUAGUCUCUAAAGUUCGGUCCUACUUCAAUUUCGUCAUCAUAGGAUCGAAGUAAACAUCUCGAGAAUGAAAUUGAGAUCCUCUAAUACUGUUGGACUAAAUAAAUUGUAACUUUUGAUAACAAAAUGCAAAUCCACGUCAAAAUUCAUAAAUAAAUUUAUGAAAAUUGAAAUUCAAUGAGGCUGAAAUUACAGUCAAACUCCAGAGGGAAUACUUAUAACUUUUAAUUUAUAGUAACUUUUGGCUAAGCAUGCUACUUUACUAAAAUUUGAUGACAUUUCUGUUGAUUGGACUGAACUACAUGUGAAAGCUGCAUCAAAUGGAAAUGCUCUGUUUGCUGUCACGCCCCGGAUUACACUUUCCCCGGGCGCGCCGACAAAUCCGCCGUAUACAAAGGAAUUUCCCCUGUAUACGAAGCGAUAGCUGUACCUGUAAAACAAACACUACUACGAACAGUAGUAGAGAGCUGCUAGAGAAAACAGAAGCUAACAAACAGAGUUUCAUAUACAUAGUCCAAAUCCAAAAUACAAAGCUACUCGCACUGGCGAGUUAAGUCCACUAUGUACAUAAACUCGAAACAAAACAUCUACCUGCAGAAGGGCACCUCUAGCUCAGCACGUCGGGUAGGGCUCUAACCCGCGACGCCCUUGCCUCGAUCCUGAUCCGCGGACGGUGCAGCAGCCGGAACCUGUGGCUCUGCAAAAACAGGGGGUAACAACUGGGCGUGAGAACUACUGUAAAAACAAGUAGUCCUCAGUGGGUACCGCCCAAAACAACAUCGGUCUACCCACUAAGUCUACAGAAGGGAGCAAGAAUAGUAGUGAAAUGCAGGAAUAAAGUCUACCGCUAUCAAAUACUACACUAUCAUGCUCUACACUAACCAACUGUAGGAAAUGUCCAACCUGACCCAAUCCAAUCGGGACUGUAAGCAUACCCGUCCCCGGGACUGUGAAUACACCCGUCCCUGCCCCGUUGCGACUGUCCAGCUACCUCCACUAUGACUAGUCCGUGGAGAGCAAGUCCAACUGGCAUGAGCGACACUAACGCAAAAGCACCAGCCUGACUCCGGAGUGGCACUCGUGGGCGCUACCCAACCGAGUAUGCAGCGUAUCUCUGUCGAGCUCAAUCAGGCUCCAACUAGCCAAAGUCAAGUAAUCGACUCAAAUCGGUCUAACAACCAACAGGUAACGUGCCCUCGGCACAAUCUGACGCCAAAAAGGCGAUACGGGUCCACCGUCAACUCUGACGGCACCCAACAGUCCGAAACAACCUGAACGACCCUGUAAAAAUCCACUCGGCGAACCAGCACGAGUGUAAAUACAUUCUAAACUACCUGGGGUACUCGUCUCGAAGAAACUGUGACAGUACAAUUUUCUAACGGCUCCUGGAGCUAAAUCAGGUAGUUAAAACUGGUGACAGGUCCAAAUCGCAGGUUUUCUCCUAAUUCAAAUUCCAAGUCCAACAUGUAUAAUCUACUUAAUUUAUAAAACAUGCUCCAAAAUUCAGAUUUCACAAUCUACAUAUAGUCCAUGAAUUUGAGCUAACACAAUUUACCGAAAUCAAGAUCUAUACAUGUCAACCAAUAAGAACUUAGGAGUAAAGCCGAUGUAACCCACCUAAAAUGCUAAUCCUUGGCAACGAAGGACUCCCACUGGUGUAGAGCAACUUGCUGGAUCAAACGCACAGCUCCGAGUCCAGAAAUCGUCCACGCUCGAGCUCUACACAACAAUAAAUCACUGUUUCAGUCCCGAAUUUCAGCAGUGAGGUACAACAGGGAUUCGACCAAGCUAACCUUCACCAAAUCCAGCAAGCAAGGGCUUCGUGGAUUCCUCUCGAAGUCUUGAAUCCAAAGAGCCAAGUCUCGUCGCAAUGCGAUGCUCCUACGUCGAGUACGAGCUGAAAUACUAACAGUCGACGGUGGAUUUCAGCAAACAAUAGUUAUCCGAGUUGAAGUAGUAAGAACUUGCCCAAAAAUCCAAGGGAAGGCUGAAUUACUCACCUCGACAGCGACAAGCGCCGGCACGACGUCAAGAACAGCGUAGUCGCACGCUCGCUCGAUCUCCUCGCAAAGUCCCGGCGUCAAAUACGUGCUCGAACGAUCCUGCGGCGCGACGUCGGCGACGAAACUCCAAGUAAACUCCUUCCUUGCUUCCAACCGGGUGGGAGAGUGAGAGAGAUGGAGAGUUGCAGCUAGAAGACCUCUCUCUCUCUCUCUACACGAAGCUAAAUAGAGGGGAGUGAGGGGUGAUACAAACGAGGUGAGAUUUUACCGUUUUAGCCCUUUACCUACUCCCUUGUACCGGUACACGGGCUCCUGUACCGGUACAAGAGCCAACCCGAGAGCAGCUAAAUCUGUGCGCGUAGCUUGUACCGGUACAGAAAACCCUUGUACCGGUACAGCAAGCAUUCCCCGCGCUGGUUGUACCGGUACAGCAUACACUUGUACCGGUACAGCAAGCAGGAAAAUCUGCUGUUUCGCAGAUUCCUUCGCUGAAAGCUGGCCUCGCGUCGCACGGAGUCCGUUUUGCGUCUAUUUGACGCCAACGCGACUCGGACUUGUCCCGACACUCUCCAGAGCUGUCGACAAGCCCCCACAGCCAAACACCAGGGAUCUCACAUUUGCUCACUGGAUAAGAAAGAGUAUAAAGACCAGAAACCAAAAGCAAAGUAGUUGGUAAACAUUGAAACUAAGUUCUGUCAUAGAUGUUAGAAGAAUUCCCCGCACAAUGGGUAUCAAAGAAGUCCAUAUUCGCCAAUCAAAGUGCUUUCUCUUUGAUAGCUUUCAGUUCUAGCAAAAAGGCCCAAGCAAAAGUUAAAUUAUUGGUAGUUAGAUGAAACUCUUUGGCUUAGAUUAUGAUCAUGAUGAGUUUACCAUAGAGCGAGGAUCUAUAACAACUCAUGCAGGAUUGUUCGUCGAAGACGGGAGAAGGUAAUCUGUCAAGAAGUUUGCCCUCCGAGAUAGGAGAGGUUGUAGAUGAUGUAUUUAUGGAACCUAAAAUUUAAGCAGCAGAGAGUAAGCUACGCAAUCGAAAGUAUGUUUUGCCGAAGAUAAAUGGAAAAUGAAGUGAGAAAAGUAAGUGAUAUAUAGCUAAAAAAUCACAUAUAAGUUAUGCUAGAUCUAAUAAUUAACCAGUAUGAUUCACUUUCUUAGAAUAAGCAUGGUUUUCUUAUUGAAUAAAGAGUGGCAUAAACUUUGAUCAUAAACAUAUUUUGCUACAGCGUUUGUUUGUAUCCAAAGCAAUAACUUGUAACAGAGUUUAGGCCUAUCGUUCGACAAACGGUGCAACUAAGGCCUAUCGGCUUUUUUUAUUCCUUUUCUUUUUUUUAUUUUUAUUUUUGGUGUGAGAUUGGAAUGUCUAAUAAUUGAGCAGGCACUAUAGUUAAUAGCCUCGUCUAAUCAACGCACAGGAUUAACUGUGCAGUGGGGCCCACAGGUAGCCGACGCUCGGCUCCAAUCACACACUAGUGGGACCCACCCACCACCACUACGGCCUAUACAUACACCUCAUACACCCAACUUAAUUUCUAAUAAUUAAUACAUAUUAUUAACAUACCAACACUAUGGCGCAGAGGGAUUCGAUUCCUUGACAUGCAUUUUUCCCAAAUAAGAAGGUAUGAAAAACACAUUAAUUAGACUUAAUUAUCUAACAAUUAAAAAAAAAGGAGCAUUGUAUGAUGUGUAUGAAUUAUGUCUUCAACAUUAAAAAUUAAGGUAGCGAACAUGGUAAUACUUUAACAAAUGUGGUGUGGAUCAGUUCUUAAAUGAUAGCGUUCAAUAAUAUUGAAGGCAAUAAUCUAACAUCCCCUGGUCCCAUGGUCUAGUGGUCAGGACAUUGGACUCUGAAUCCAGUAACCCGAGUUCAAAUCUCGGUAGGACCUUAUAUUAUUAUUAUUAUUAUUAUUAUUUUGUUAUUUAAGUUCGAUUUGCAUUGGAUAAUUGGAUAUCACCUUAAUUAUCUUUUUAGUUAUUCAAACUACAUCUUUAGUUGGUUCCAAAUCAAACUGAAUCAUUGAUAUCACCUUGUUUAUUUGUAGUUAUUCAAACUGUAUCUUUGUUUUCGUUCCAAAUUAAGCUGACCCAUUAACACCCACAGGGAAAUGGAUUGCAUAUCACCUCAUUCAUUUUUUAAGUUAUUCAAACUAUAUCUUUACUUUGGUUCCAAUUCGAACUGAAUCAUUAGGCAUUGCUGAGGUCAGAAGAUAUAGGCAUUCGAACUCGCAAUGUACAGACAUUAUCAAACUCUUUCAAAAGCUCUUCAACCUGCAUCAUCCAACAAAAGAACCAUAAGAAACAGUUUACUAAACAUGCAACUUAUCAAAGACGUAAUAGACCUACAAUUCAUGUAAUAAGGUGUUUACCAUAGCCUUGGUCUUCGAAUAGAAUGAUCCGGUAAAGUUUGGCUUGUCUUCCUCCUUGAAGCCAAUUCCUGACCCUUGAGGAUGAGCAUCAUCAUAUUCAAAUAUACAUCCAGUUGCAUAAUUCAUCAUUAACAGCCCCUGUUCCCUGCAGACAUCAGCAAGAGUCAAAGUGCCCACAACAUUGGUUCGAAUCGUCUCAGGCUUGUGUGACUCGCACCAAUCAACAUUAGGUCUACCGGUCACACCAGCUGCAUUAAAUACAUGUGUUGGUUUAACAUUCUGCUUAAAGUACUUAAAAAUUUCUCUUUUUCACGGUUGGCUUUGAAUGAUAGCAAAGGGAUCGGUUAAUUGUUAUAUAGAUCAAUGUCUUGGCAUUUGGCUAUCCAUGAAUGUUCAUCGUACUAUGUUUGAUAAAUUUUGUUUUUCUUAUCUCAUUUGAUUAAUUAGUUCUUUUGCUUUGAUCGUUUAAUUAACCUCUACCGAGUCUCGAGUCUAAGUAGUGUGAAAAGAUGCAUUAAUUAGAUCAAGCAAAUUGAUCUUCUUAUUUACAUGGAUCAGGAAGUAAAAGUGUGGAAGAAAAAACUUGUGGGAUAGCUGUGGUUGAGGUCAUCUUCUACUUCUUCUUCUGUUUGCAGAUUAGGUAAGUUAUACUAUAUCCCUUUUUUAUUCUCAGCUUUUGUUAAAAUUGCAUCACUGUCUAAACAUAUAUAUGUUUUUAAAUGUGUUUUUAAAUGUGUUUAAAUGUGUUUUCUUUUUUCAACUUAGGUUUACACCCAUUUUUUAUCUUAUCUUCUCACAAUCUUAUCAUCUAUAUUAUGGAUAAGAGCUGGAUACGCGAAUCAAGGUUUGCUCUAACACAAAUAAAGUUAUUCUUUUUCCAAAAUACAUUAAUUUGUAUAUUAAUCCAUAUUCACUUUCGAAAAUGUAGGGUUAGUGAAAAAUAUCUUCAAGGAGUUUCAAACUUUCUCGAUUUUGCAUUUUUGAAUGCAAUGCAAGAAGGGUUAAUCCUUUGCCCUUGUAAUAAAUGUACAAAUCGCUAUUGGCAAGAUAGAGAAACCGUUCUAGAUCAUUUGAUUUGUGAUGGCUUUUCAAAUGAUUAUACAAAUUGGAUCUAUCAUGGAGAAAAUGUUAAUUUGUUCUCCUCUAUGCACGAUUUUGAUAACACUGAUGUGCAUGAUGAUAUGCAUGGCAUGCUUAAUGAAGCUUUUGGUAUUUUUCAUGAACCUGAUGAAAACAUUGCGCAACGAGAACAUAUGUCUAAUGAAGAACCUAAUGAGGAGGCCAAAAAAUUUUACAAAUUAGUUGACGAUUCAGAGCAGGAGUUAUACCCUGGUUGUAAAAAGUUCUCAAAACUCUCAUUUAUUGUUAGAUUAUUUCAUUUGAAGUGUCUUAAUGGGUGGACAAAUAGUUCAUUCACGGCGCUACUUACUCUAAUUAAAGAGGCACUUCCUGCUGGUGAAACUCUCCCAAAUUCAUUUUAUGAAGCAAAAAAGAUCAUCGAUGACUUAGGUCUACGGUACAAGAAAAUCGAUGCUUGCCCAAAUGACUGUCAGUUGUACUAUAAGGGGACUUCUACUGCAAGUUCAUGCAAUACUUGUGGUGCUUCUAGGUGGAAAACUACUGAUAAUAAUGUAAAGUGUGACACAUCGACCUCUAAGAAAGUUGGCAAAAAAAUUUCAGCCAAGGUUGUGUGGCACUUUCCUUUAAAACCAAGACUACAGAGAUUGUUUAUGUCAUCAAAAACUGCUUCACUUAUGAGAUGGCAUCAUGAUGGUCGAACAAAGGAUGGAAUAAUGCGACAUCCCGCUGACUCCCCAGCAUGGAAAACAUUUGACUUUGAGCACCCAGAAUUUUCUUCAGAACUUCGUAAUGUGAGACUCGGCCUAGCAAGUGAUGGUUUCAACCCGUUUCGAACAAUGAGUACAGCACAUAGCACAUGGCCAGUUAUUUUGAUACCAUAUAAUUUACCACCAUGGCUGUGUAUGAAACAACCGUUUAUUUUUUUGUCCUUACUUAUUCCAGGACCAACAGCGCCAGGUAAUAAUAUUGAUGUGUAUUUAGAACCAUUAAUUGAUGAGUUGAAGGAUCUUUGGCUUGAUGGAUUGAAUACUUAUGAUGCAUCAAUGAAGCAAAACUUUCAAAUGCGUGCUGCAUUAUUGUGGACUAUUAGCGAUUUUCCAGGGUAUGCUAAUUUGUCAGGAUGGAGCACUAAAGGGCGUUUGGCAUGUCCUUCUUGCAAUGUUGAUACUGAAUCUCGCUACUUAAAGCAUGGUCGAAAAUUUUGCUAUAUGGGCCAUCGUCGAUAUUUAGAAACAAACCACAAAUUUCGACGGGAUAAGAUUUCUUUUGAUGGGAGCCAAGAACUUAGAGAUGCACCUGUUCCAUUAUCUGGCUCGAUGGUCUUGCAGCAAUUACAGAAUGUUGAAAACAAAUUUGGCAAGUUAGAAAAGAGAAAGCGAGGAAAGGAUGUUAAUUUACCACACAAUUGGAAGAAAAGAAGUAUAUUCUUCUCUUUGCCUUAUUGGGAGAGCAUUCUUAUACGUCAUAAUUUAGAUGCCAUGCAUAUUGAGAAAAAUGUUUUCGAUAAUUUACUUUGGACAUUAUUAAAUGAAGAUGGUAAAACAAAGGACAAUAUAAAAGCUCGUCGUGACUUGGAAGUUAUGGGUAUUAGAGACUCACUCCAUUUAAAACAAAAUGGAAGCAAAACCAUAGUUCCUCCUGCAUGCUUCGUGCUUUCUAAGCAAGAAAAGAAUAUUUUCUUCAAACUACUAAAAUCAGUUAAAUAUCCAGAUGGAUAUGCAGCAAACAUUUCAAGUUGUGUGCAUGUAAAAGAUCGAAAAAUUAUCGGACUAAAAAGUCAUGACAGUCACAUUUUUUUACAACAAUUGCUUCCUAUAGCAUUAAGGAGUGUUCUGACAAAGAAUGUAAGCUCGCCGCUUAUGGAAGUAAGUAGGUUNAACUUUGUAUUUGUGGCGGGUCUGUACGUCACGUGGGCCAGGUUGAAAAAAAAAAAAAAAAUGGCACGUUUUCCGCAACUCUGUUUUUAAAAGGCUUUUAAAAUCGGCCCCGGGGCGUGACAAUACCACUUGAAGUGUUUGGAAAUCAAAUUUCAAAAAUUUUCAACAUCACUUGCCUAAUGAUCAAAUGGUUUCAAAACUUGUAAUUUUAAUGGUCGAUAUGAGGCGUUUUCUCGUUUAACGGCGUAAAGAUAUCCAAAUCAAUUAAAUUUUUGUUAGAAAAUUUUUUAAAUUAUUUAAAACAAGAUCUAUACUCUUGAUCUUGAUUACAAGACUUCUAUCAUCAUUUUUUAAAGAAUAUUCAUUUUCAGCCGUUCAUUUUUGUGUCCACUUGAUGGAUAAGAGAACAAUAUCGAAAAUGUAUGAAAUUUGAUUAAUUCUAAACACUUCGAGUGGUAUAGAUCAUGUUUAACGGUGUCGAUCGUCGAUUUGGAGGCUCCAUCAUUGAAAAUAAAUGGGUGGCAACGGAGCCCGUUUGCUACCGAUAGCAUUCCAGCUCAACUCUAAUUUUCUAACUUAUAAUUGUAGGAAACAUAUCGACAUAAUAAAAGGGAUGAAGCGCCGAAUGCGGCCAAGGGAAAUAGAGCGAAUUCAUAGUGAGACAUUUCAUGACUGGUUUAAAGAUCAUAUAAAAGAUCGUCCUUUUAGUUUAAAUUUUUAUGCAUAGUAAAGUAUACAUUUUUGUACAUAACAUUAUUGUACUAAUUAAUGUUUUCUUAAUUUGAUGAGUAGGUUAGUAAAGCAGUUGAUGAAAAGAAUGAAAUUUUGCCGGAGGAUAUUAUCUCGCUAGCUCGUGGCCCUUAUAAAGCUGCACGAAGAUACCAAGGUUAUAUUGUCAAUGGAUUUAGAUUCCACAUCAGAGACCGUGAAAUUAAUAGAAGAACUCAAAAUAGUGGAGUUGUUGUCACUGCUCGUACAUCUAGUUAUGCUAGCGCCAAAGACAAAAAUCCUAUUGCUGGAGAUAUAAUAUACUAUGGAAUUCUCACGGACAUAAUUGAAUUAAAUUAUUAUGAGCAUUUUAAAGUGGUGUUAUUUAAAUGUGACUGGGCGGAUGUGCAUUCUCAAGGUAGAGGAGUAAAAACAGAUGAUUUUGGGUUCACGUUGGUAAAUUUCAACCGACUAUUAUUUAAAGGCCACGAACUCUCUGAUGAACCUUUUACCUUAGCCUCGCAAGCGAAGCAAGUCUUCUAUGUACAAGAUCCUAUUGACAAAGAUUGGCAGAUUGUCAUUCAUACAAAACCAAGAGAUUUAUUUGAGAAUAUGAUGAAAUUCAAUAGAUUAUAGAACUGCCUUCAACAGUACAUUGAAAAUAUAGGAAAAUGUCAUUAUUAACGAAGUAAGUAGUCUUUGCAGAUGAAGACUUGAUAUGCCCGAAAUUCAAUUGACACGUCUUAAUCAACCCCAAGAUGAAAUGGAUUGGAUGAUCAGAAUGGAAGAAAUAAAUGGUCUAAUUGAAUGUGAUCUGGAAUUUCACUAGUAUAGAAUCCUUUGAAAAUAUCGUUACUUUUUAUAAAAAAAAAAUAUAAAAAGUCUUAACCGUUGAUUAAUAGACUAAAAUUAACUUAAUACUUAGUCAAGUAAAAGAAUUAUUUUAUUCAAGGUUAAUGGUAAUUAAAUAAUAACAUCAUUUAAAGAAAUUUAAUUGAGGUCCUAAAUUUAUGCAUUAAUAGUCACACUAAUUUAGGAAAUAAUGUGAUUAACAAAUCUUAAUAAACUAUAUUAGCAUUAAUUAGGAACACCUUAAAUGGUUUAGUCUUCUACAAUAGCAUAAUAAAUUAUUAGAAAUUUAGAUAUAGUUUAUUUCAAUACAUGAAUUUUAAAUUUUAAAAAAUAAAUACUUUAAAAUUAAAUGAAAAAUUUAAUUACAGAAAUUUCAAUGUACAUAUAAAAACUAAAUUUCUCCCAAGAUUUAAAAGACAUUUAUCGCAAUCACGUUAACAACUAAUGCAUAAAAAAACACUAGAAGAUAAAGAAUUUCUACACUAGAAUUUCUCAGAACGAAUUAUAUUAACUAUUAAUUUAAUUCAAUAAUAAAAACAUAUGAAGCCCGAUUGUAUUACUGACUCAGACUUUGACCAUUCUAUCAAGAAUCUGAUUUUGACCUUGAACCGAAUAACAUAAGAACACUUGAACCAGUAACAGAAAUAAAUAUCUAAACAGUAAUAAAUAAUUUAACUUUAAGUAAUAAAUAUUUAAAUAAAGUUAAACAUAUAAAUUAAAAAAAGAUAUAUGAGAAAAAAAUAGUAGGAAUUUGAAUUCGAAUCUGACUAACAAUCACAAAACUUAUUCCGAACUUGGCACGAGAUUUCAAAAUCCAUAUCCAAAUUCGAAAACUAACCAAUUUUUCGGAAACCCAAAACAAACAUAAACCAGAUAGACUAGAAUUCAAACAAUUAUUUCUGUUUACCAUAUUUCAAAGUAUUUAUAUGAAACUUAAAUUUUUAAAAUAUAAAUUUGAAUAUAAUAUUAAAUUUUAAAUUUAAAAGUGAAAUUUAAAUUAGAGAAAUUUUAUAUUACUAUUUAAAGUUUAAAUUCAAUGAUCAUAUUGUCAAAUCAUUUGAAAUUUUCCUUAUAUGAAAUGCCAAAUUAUGAAAGGAAAGAUAGAGAGAGCAAACGGAAACAAAGAAAAAAUAAAAAUUUUGAAAAUAUAAUAAAUGUAAAAUGACUAAAUUGCCCAUGUAUUAAAAGACAAAAAUAUUCUUUUUUGAGGUACCUGGUAACCGAUACCUCUCCCAAAGUGACCUGCUAUUGCAGGUCACAAUUUUAAAAAAACUAAAUCUGAGUCGUUGAAUACGCGUGAAUGAACGGUAACCAAAAAAAAAAAAAUAUAGAAGCAUUACUCUAUUUUUUUUUGACAAUUUAAUAUAUUAUUUUAUUAAUCUAUUUGAAGCUGCAAUGGUUAUGUUAGGAUAACUAUUUGUGAAGUUUGUUUACGCAAUAUUUUUUUUCUUAUUAAAAUUUGUCUUCUAAAUUGUUCUUAUGAUUUAUCGUAUUUGCAUUCUAAUGUAGCUUAUUUUUUUCUAUAUGUAGAUGGACUCUAAGGGUAAAGAGAGAAGUUCAAAAAGGCCAUAUUUUGAUCAAAGGGACUAUGGUGAGAUGCUUUUUGGCUCGGACCAUUUUCUACAUAAACUUUUGCGAAACGAACAUCAUUCUACUAAACCUCUAGAAGAUCAGCCCCCCUUGUCACUUGAGCACGCACUUCAUCAUUAUAUGAAUCAUCUAGUUUCUAGCUUGCACCAAGAGCAACGCCCAUCACUUACUUCUGAAAUUCCAGAUAACAAUAUUCCGGUCCAAAUAGGGUCAACACAGAACCAGCAUGAUCUAGCUAAACAAUUAUCACGACAACAUCAUGAUGCUCAGUCUAUUCCUAUCCUCGAGUAGCCGCAUAGUGAUCCAGCUAUAGACAAACAACCUAUUUUCGGAACUGUCUGGAGUCAGCAAAGUGAAGAUCCUCUACAAAAUUCAAACAUGCCUGAAGAUUGUGAAGAUGACUGUCACGCCCCGGGGCCGAUUUUAAAAGCCUUUUUAAAAUAGAGUUGCGGAAAACGUGCCAUUUUUUUUUUUUUUUUUCAACCUGGCCCACGCGACGUACAGACCCGCCACAAAUACAAAGUUCCUCUGUCCACUCGGACAGAGUCUCCUUUGUAUUGCGGACAACCAGUCAACGUAAAAGCGAUAACCACAAUCUACAUUUACAAUCAACAACAAGUCAUGUAUAUGGCUUUCCUAAGCUUCCACUCUUGAAUGAUGCAUGGCCUCUAGCUUUAGGCGCUGGAUGAUAAUGAAUCAAAAUCCUAUUUAAAGGUGCUCCACGACGGCUUUUUGUUUUUAACUUAAUUCUUUAUCAUAAAACCAUUCGAACCUUUUAACUGUUGGCCAAACGGAAUCUAUUUGAAGACUUUGCCUCCGAGGGGUAGAAACACAGAUAUGUAAUACCAGAAAAUCGUAUAUAAAUCAUAUCCAUCCACAAACCUUGUUUACAUGCAUAAUACGAGUCCCCAGAAUCUACCAAACCAUCAACUUUCACAUAAGAUCGUUAACUGACCAUUACUAUCUAAGCUAUAUCAACAGACUGUAAGGGUGAAUAAAGCGAUACCUGAGUUCGGAAGAUCUAGCGCCUACGAAGUGUCUCAGUUAGUCUCAUUCACUAGCGGCGUCUGAAAAUAGGUGGGGGGUGCGACAAUGUAAAUGUCUCUCCAGUGCUACGAAGCGGAUGAAGCGCGAGGGUAUCCGGUCGGGAGAGUAACAGUAGGAUCGCGUAAUACUAAUAGUAAGGNNNNNNNNNNNNNNNNNNNNNNNNNNNNNNNNNNNNNNNNNNNNNNNNNNNNNNNNNNNNNNNNNNNNNNNNNNNNNNNNNNNNNNNNNNNNNNNNNNNNAAAAUUAUUUUCAACUGUGAGAUUGUCUAAUUUAGGGGGAGUUUGAAAUUGUUUAAAAAUAAAAAAAGGAGAAAAAGAUACUCCAAUGUUCAAAAAGAUGUGGAAAGAGUUACAUCCAAAAGGAGUGUGAAAACUACUACCACAUGUAGGAAAGAGCUACCAUCCCGGUCGUCCGGCAAGCGUGUGAAGCUACCACAUGGAAUUUAAUUGAAAAAGCCGAAAAGGUUGAAAAAAUAUAAAUAUUUUAAAAUUUUCGGAGUAAUAAGGUGCUAGUUUGAAAAAGAUGCUCAAAGAGCUACCCCCGGUGCCAUAUUAGUUAAAUCUCUAUUUUGAAUGUGUUGCGACAAAUUAGUGUCAAUUUUGUUGAAUUUCUCAAAAUCAUUUUUCAUCAACUUACAUCUUGAAGGUUUUGAAUCAUUAAAUCACUUUUGAUAAUGAAAUUUUGAUGUUUUGAUGGAUUUUAAAAUUUUAUAAUAUUUUAUUUUCAUUAUAAUGAUUUUUGGAGUAAAAGCCUUAAUUAUAUGAAUUUAAUUUAAAUUUGAUGAGUUUUUAAAGGAUAAUUUUUGAAAAAAAAAUUUUACAUUUUGGUCCUUGUACCGGUACAAGAAAUCGUGUUCCGGUACAAGGUCUGUACCCGAGCAGAAUAUAACCGGGUAUAACGCUUCGAUCUCUCUCAAAUCUCAACCUUUUUCGAAAAUUUUUGUUCAUGAGAGCUCCAGCGACUCUUCUUCAACCGUUCUACACGUUCUCCCCUUGGAUUUGUAAGUUUUUAGCAUCAAAUUUGUGAGUUUUAUCCCGGUUUUGAUAUUUUCACUGUUUUUGCGGGAUAAGGGUUUGAUCUCUGUGCUAAUUCGUUUGUGAUGCAAUUUUUUGCUAUAGAUCAGUGUCUUAGGCUAUUACCUUGCUUGUAGAACACUUGAACAACAUUAAAACAAGUUAUUUUUCACUGAUCUAAGAUUAUGCUCUAAUAUGCAUGUAAUUUCGGGAUUUUUCAAAAAGUUCGAUUUUUGCUGAAAUUUUAUGCAUGAUCUGGUUAGAAAUAUCAUUUGUAUGCAUUCUAAUGUUAUUAGAAAUUUUUUCGCUAUUUUUACAGAUUUUUUCAAAAAAUUUUGUUCAUGUAUGCAAUUUUUUGAUAUAGGAAAAUGACGUUUUUGCUCGUAUUGGCAUUGUUGAUGCUAAUGGCUGGGAGACGGAGCCGUAGUGGUGGUAGAGGUCGUCAUGGGGUUUCUAAAAGGACACGCACAACUGAAGAAGCGUCCGGGUCUAAUCCGGAUUAUCAGGCGAGCUCCCCGGAAGAACCUGAAGAACCUAUUGCUCGACUUGACAAGGGCAAAGGAAUAGCUGGCGAAUCAUCUCAUGGUGGUGGUUCUCGUACUCGUGAGGGACGUACAAAACAAGCUACGGAUGUCCCUCCAGCACGGCAAAGGUUGUUUGUGUCGAAGUCGUGCAUAGCUGAACGCUUUGUGAACUUUAAUGACCUGGUUCGGGAUGUUCCUGAUUUUGGUCGACUGCUAUAGCAUGCACCUAUUGAGCCAGUUGGACGGGUCCCGGCCAAGGCUCCUUUCUGUGUGGAACUCAUUCGGGAGUUCUAUAUGAAUGGAAAAGUACUUGCUGAAGACGAUGACAAAGGCACUUUUAUUUUUGAGACUAUUGUGCGACAGAGGAGAUUCCCAGUUACCCCCUACGAUAUUGGAGAGCUCUUGGGAAUGAAUGUGGACACUACCGGUCUUCUCUAUACGUCAGGAGGAUUCCAAUCGUCAACUCACAUGGAUAUCGUUAUUGGAGCUAUAUGUAAGGCUGGUGUUCACAUGACUCAUGGUUACAUAGAAUCCAAGGAUUUAUUACCAGAGUACCACUUGUUAUCUUUGGUCAUGAGCUACAAUGUUCAACCAACCAUUGGCACAAAGAGGAUUCGUUGGGAGAGAUUAAUGUUGCUAUAUCUACUUGGUCAUCCCGCGCAGGCUCAUGGAUUGAAUAUCAACAUUCCAUUUCUGAUCUGGCAAAGAAUGAUUUGCAAAAAUUAAAGAAGAAGGUGAACAACAUUGGAAGGAAAGUUGAGUCCAGCAUCAAAAUGUUUGAGUUAAGUAUCAAAAGAUUGAUGGAUAAGAUGGGGUGUCGACAUGAUGAUAUUUGGGAACCUACUCCAUCUUCUGCCUCGUAUCAGCGGUCAUCUUCACGACAUCCUCUCAUUCCACCGUCUGGUGAUGCUCCUAAGGCUGGGGGUUCUGGAGCUGGUGUUGGCGAUGAUGAUGAUGAUGACGAGGACACGGAGUGAUUUCUUCGUCGAGCUUAGUCUUUCUCUUUCACUACAUUUGUAUUUUAGGAUGAUGUUUUAUUUUAGUUCUGUUUUUUUUUUUUCUUUUAAGCCUGUAACUAUGACUUGACUACGCUUAUACUUUUCUAGUAUGUUUUCUCUCUCUAUUUGCUUUCUUUUGGCAAUUUUUGACAAAAAGGGGGAGAGCGUAGAUGAAGGAAGAGAGCAGAGGGAGAGCAUGGACGAACAGGCAUUGAACUAAAGUAGAGGAUGAUGAGUUCAAAAACAAAGGUGGAGAUAUGAACAAAGGGGGAGAAGGUAUAAGAAUUUAGUGCUAAUCAUCUUUGAAUGAAUUGUUUUGCAGGAAAUCAAGACUUCAAGACUCCUAGUUGCGUCUAAGUCAUAGAGUCUGUUUUAGGAGUUUUUGAUGUAAUUUUGAUUCUCAAUUUGUAUUUGGACUACAUGCGAGGGGUUCGAUGUUUUGGUGAUGACAUUGAACUUCAUUUUUUUUAGAUUGUAAUUUGUGAGUUUGUGUGUGUUUUGUCACGAAAUUGCCAAAGGGGGAGAUUGUUAGGUCCUAUGUGUUGGCAAGUUUCGUGGGUCGAGUCGGAGUCUUGAAGAAGUCCGCGGAAGCGGAGUAUUGAAAGAAUCGGAAGGACUGCAAAACACGCACCAGAAUAGUGAAUCACGAGGCUUAGGUUAAGCUUUUAAAAUCUUGUUAUGGGGGAUUCACGUACUUAAUUAUAGGUUUUAGAAUCAUUGUUUUCAAUGUAAUUGAUUAGAGAAGUUUUAAAGCUUGUAAACCUCCGGAAACACUAACCAGUACACUGCUUUAGGCAAAAUUGCAUUGUUGUAUCCGGUACAAGGGUUUUCUGUCCAAUGUACACUCACACGUUUGCGAGAAAAGUUUGAUGGUUUGUUCAGGUACAUUACAUCACGGCUGUCCAAGGGUACAAGCCCUGUUCCCGGAACAAGCGCAGGCCUGUUCAGGGUACACGAAGCUUCCGCAGAAAAAUCUCGCGUCCCCUGCUGUAACCUGCCUGGAAAACCAAGCUUUUUUCUGCUUCCGGUACAAGGUGCUGAUUUUGGACAAGAAACUUCUAAAUCCUACUCCGUUUUGAUUCUAAAAGACUAUAAUAAGCUAGAGGGGUUUCUCCUAACUGAUAGGAUCAUAAGAAUAUAUGGUUGAGCAAAGCCCCUACGAAGGCUCGGAUUUCAUUCUACAACGCUAUUUCUACAAAUUAGCUCCUUAGAUCUAAAUCGAGAUAACGUUUCGCAUUGCUAUAGUCGAUUGAUCUAGUCUUCGCUGUGAGUUCUAUUCGCUGGUUUUCAUACAUAACUCCUAAGCGAUAGGAUCACCAUACAUCAUGAUGCUCUCAUUGAACAGCGUCGUGGAUGUCGGCGUGAGCAAAGGCGUUCGUGGAUUCGGAAUCGCUGGCCUCUGAUGGAUUCGAGUGCGUCGUGGAUUCGGGCGUGAUUGAGCUUCGUGGAUUCGAAGUGGAGCGUUCGUGAUUCGAACGUGAGGGCGUGUACAACGCCAGGAGGGUAGCAAGAUUCAUAGAGGUUUAAGAGAGGUUGACGCCGCGGAGACCGGUAAUCACCUGUAAUCUUUUCUCUGAGUGAUAUUUUUUCCGCAGUGUUGGUCCGUGGUUUUUCUCCAAGUUGGAGUUUUCCCACGUAAUUCGUGUGCUUUGUUAUUUUCCGCAGUUUAUUUUUAUUGGAUCGAGAUUUGUGGUUUUUGCCGUUUCACGACACUAUUUCACGCCCCUCUGGUUGAUAGAUACAAUCUAGAUAGUAUCCUGGGCUCCUGCAAAAUCUUUCAUCCUCUGCUGCCCUCCGGACUGGCAUUUUGUGUUUUUGUAACAUCGGCCCUUGCCAUUUGCCGAUGGUUGGACAUUUGAGCUUGCGGCCACUGAUCUACAGGCACAUUGCCGGUUGACUUUACCGUCUCAAAUUAAUUCUUCCAAAAUUUCUCUUCCUUUCCCAUAGGUCUCGGCUAGGACUGUAUGCGAGUUCAUUGACUAAUCUCCGACCAGACUCUAUGACUCCUUCGGAUCAUCUCCUUCGAACUCCGGUCAGUCUCUAACCUGGCUUCGAUGCCUCUAGUGUGGUCGUGUACCCCUCAAGAAAUCUCUGUUUCCAAAGCUGAAUGUUUCUACUGGAUGUCUCCAUCGACUGUGAUGCUCUUCCUCUCUGCUAUUGUAAUAAUCAAUGCAGAACUUUCUUACAUCAAUAGGUCUUUUCUGUGUUUGAACCGAAUCGGACUUCCGUUCAGACUCAUUAGGAGGCUUCGUCCGAGCAUCCUGCUGAUUUGUCAUGCUGUCUUAGGAAUCUCUUCCCAUUCCUCAAGAGCCGCCAUCAUUGUCUCAUCCAUUUGUUGGCUUCUUUCGUUGUCCGUUGAUCGAUCGACUUCCAAUCCUUUCUUUGUCAUUUCGGCUUGCACUUCCAUGCAAAGCGAAGUAAGCGUCUCCUCUUGAUCAUAAGUAAUGUUUCAAGCGGUCUUCUUAAUCCGCACCGGCUUUUCCUUUGACAUUCCACUCAUUUUAACCUGCGAAGGAAAUGGAUUCUUGUCAAUUUAUCUAUGUUUUUAUUUUCUUGUCGCAAAUAAGACCGACCUCUCAUUUUUCUGUCUUUUUGAAUCCUGCCUCCUUAAAGGCAGUACAUCUCAUUUAGUCUUAUGGCUCAUAAAUGGUGCCAUUUCAAUACUUCUUCUUUUUCAAUUCUUCUAUCAUGGGAGGGGUAUAAGUUUGACCCUCCUGUAUGAAUUUCGUCUAUCUUUUAACAACCGUUUAAAAAUUAAAAUCCAUUUCAAUGCAUCAAAAGAAUAUGUAGUAAACAAACUGCAAACUCGUCGCUUUCAGCUUACUGGAUUUAGAAGGCUUCAAUAAUGCAGCACUUAUAUGGUUGACGGUUUUUAAACGCAUCUCACAGCAUAUUAUCUCGCUUCAUCAGCACAAGAUCUUUAGGCCUCUUUAGAUGAAUUCGGGCUCAUGAGCCGAAGACUCUUUCAAAAAGAAUAUGUUUUUCUCUUUUCCUUGCUCGCAGAUCUUUGUUUCGGCUCGCACACUGGGCCGAAUCCUCAUUAUUCCUUUUCGGAAUUGCUCAUAAUUGACGGCAACCGAAUUCAAAUCAAAUAAAUUUGAAUAUUGAUCUCAAAUGAUCUUUAAUUUUGAAGUGUACAGCCAUUGACAUGCCAUUUUGGCAACCUCUGACGUCGCGGCAUUCUCACAAAACAACCGCUCCUAGUCCCGUCUUUAAAUCGGUUCAAAUAUUUUUCAAUCGAUUCGCCCUGUUCUCUUUAUGAACUGAGCCAAAAUCGCAACCGAUAAUUCCGUCUAUGUUCUAUUAAAAUUGUUCAUGAACUUUCCUUCUAAUUUGUCCUGCAAUCUCGGACAAUGAGGAAAUUAGUCCGGUAGAACUUGUAACCAAGUGAAAGUUGUCUUGGUUAAUGAAGUGUUAAAAUAAUCUUAAUUUUUAAAAAUGGUAUCUGCCGCAGCCUCUUCGCAAUUGUGCUGUAAAACCGUGCCAACAUGCUUGACCGUAUUUUCGUCUAAUCUUGCGGAAAACCUAUCAAACUUCGACAUUUUGCAGUUUGCCGGGUAAGGAUGUUCUACAUCAAUGUUUUUGCCGGAUAAGGUAGCUCUGAACACCAAGCGCAUUGCCGGCCUUGCGCCUACCCCGAAGGUAUUUCGGAUGGGCUUCUCAGCAGUGCAUAUAUUUCAUUGUUGUUCCCAUAGUAUGUGGAAAUUGCGCUUGCGUGCUAUUUCGAUCCUGUGGCGGUAGACCGAAAUUUUGUACUACAUGGGUUACAUCCUUGUAUAUUCGGAGCUGCCCUAGCAACCCUAUAAUUUGGGGCUGUACUGCUACUGGUGGAGGAGUGAACCCCCAUGCUAUCUAUGGCUGAUUGACACGGCAAUUAACUAACAGCCGGGUCUACGUAAGCCGCUGUGUAAAUGGGCCCCCUGGUAUGAGGUGACCAUUUACUCCAGUGUUACAAGGAUUUAUAACACUGAGUUGUCAUCAACAGGCCCUUAUAACGCAUUGCCGGUUGCUCAUUCGAGUCGAACAAUUGCUAUUCGGGCAUAUUCUCAUCUCGAGACCGUAAUUGCGACAAUACUACUGGGCAUCAACCCGUACAGUGCCCUUCCUAAUAAACUAUUCUGGCCAAAACUUGUUAGGACCGCGAGUCAUUUGUCCAAGCGCCUGAGCCAAACUAAGGCUCAUUGUUUGUCGAUUUACGCUAGUACUCACCUCUGCCGUGCAGGUAAGACUCUUGGCAACUCCACAGCAUUAUCCGAAUUACUGGUUGUUGGUACGCUCAGAACUUCUAGGGAUGUAACUCUAUUGCGCAAAUUCAUGGCAAAUUAUCAAAUCAGGGCCAUUAUAUCAAAAAUAAUAAAAAUUACGCUUAAAUGUGUCCCACCGGGAGUGCUAAAUUAUUGCGUGUCUGUCAUGCCCUGGGACUGACGGAGGCCGCUCCCGGGUAGCGUGCCCAGACCCGCCAUUGUCUACACAUAUAAGCAAUCUACAAACAAUAGCGGAAAUAAAAGCAAGGGAUAUGAAACGUAAAGAGGAACAAUAACUAUGAUAUCAGAGCAAGUAAACUACUAAUACUAGUAACAGCAGGGAAGAAAAGAACUACUCACAAAGUAACAUAAAGUAAUACAAUAUCCAUCUCCAGAAGUACAGCAAAAGGAGUGGUCCUCUAUAAAUGGUACAACUCUCAACGUUCCCAAAAGAAACAACGAGAGGUAGACCACAUAUCAACGCGUCCUCUGAUAGCAAGCUAGCUUGAAGGGGAUACUCUUUCCGCAGUCCGUAGCCUCUCCAGCUGUGGAAAGGCAUUUGAAAUAACAUCAAGAAAAAGAGGGCGUGAGAACUAUAAUUUAUACGUUCCGCAGUGGCAAUGUACUGACCUCAGCUCAAUACACCACAGCCCCAAAAGAAAAGAGUAUCAAAAGCAACAAUAAUAAUAAAUGAUUGCAUUUAUGAAAGCAUAAUAGAAUCUAAACUACCAUGUCGCAAGGUAAACAUGAUUCAAUGUGUUUGUACAGUCUACUCUAUUCAUGAUAAAGUAUGUCAAUGCAUGACUAUAUGUCCAUCAUGGCCAGCAAUAGCAUUAUGAUCCAUUCUAUCAAUAUACUGAUAAAAUAUACUCUAUCGUGCCAACCAAGUAUACUAUGAAGCAACAAAGUAAAACUAAUCAAGUAUACUACAUGUCCAACGCUAGCGCCAAAAGCAUGUCAAAGUAAUCCAACUACUAAGGGCCUAUCGUAGUAGUGAUUUUCAACAUCCCGGUUUUAAUGUUACUUUUCAUUAUGUUCUAGGAUUACAUAAGUGUGUCGCAGCUUGGUGCCAGCCAUAAGUGUCGGUGGUUGCUCCAGCAUUCCGACUCUAGGAAUGAGUCUAUCCCUGCCCGCCCCAUAGGUUUCUCGAUACCGCACGAGCAAUAUAAGUCCACGUAGGUCCAACUCCGGAGUGCCGACUUGUAGGGAGCGACUCUCACAAGCAUGUGCGAAUGAGCACAAAUGGCAAACAAGCAUAGGUAUCGUCGCAAGAACUAAGUCAUCAUGUCUCAAUGUGAAGGUUCACCGUUCAAUAAAUUCUACUGUCAUAUGACCUUAGGGCUUUACUAAGUCCAAAUCUUUUCCAGAGUACUAGUGCCGCUUUAUACACUAGGUUUCACUCGUCAACACAGUAACGACUCAAGUGCUCCUUUAUGACAUUGGCUCAAUAGUUUGCUAAUAACACAAGUCCCGAGCCUCCUUUUAUGGCAAUUAUGCAUGACCCGUAUGUCCAACAGGAGAAGUUAUGUCUAAGAAGCACAUUAACUUCUCAUUCUCACUAUAUAGAACCAUGAAUCUUGGUCCUAUCUAGAUGUUAAACACAUGUAUAAGUCUCACAUGCCACUCUCUAUCUAUGUAAGGAAGUGAAUUCCUCUGAAAUUCGAGGAUUUGUACUUCAUGCCAGGACUGACUAAUCUGUCAAGAGUAUACACCUUUGUCGGAGUUGGAGUUCCAAAACACAAAAAAAAUGCUUUGGAGUUGAGUCCCGAGAGCAAAUGGUGCACUUUUAGCUGAUGUUGCUCUCAGGGGAACGGCGGUCUCUGGACGUGAGAGACGCGGUUCCCUUGGUGGGGUGUAGCGUUCUUGGUGCAACACAAGUCCUGGCAGGGAGGGACCGGUCCCGAACGUGGUCUGCGAGCGAGAAAUGCCGAAAUUUGGCUAAGUCCUGAAAAUCGAGCUUCGGGGAACGGUCUCUCAAGUGAGGACCGGUCUCCGAGGACGCGUCUCCCGGGAAGACGCGGUUCCGAACUGCGUGCGCUCCGAGGGAAGCUCUCGGGGACGCAGUCCAAGUCGGGAGACCGGUCGCCUCGCCGCGAAAAACCCAGUAAGUGGCUGUGCAAAUGGAUGAACAGUGAGGGGUCUAAAUGCAAAAUGCCUUUAUUAACAGUGCUGUAGCCCUCUCUCUCCUCACAUUCAUUCAUUCACUCUCUCUCUCACCCUCUCUUUCUCUCUUGCUCUCCUCUAGAAAAGAAAGGAGAAAAAGAAGACAAGAAGAGAGGAGGAAAAAGAAAGAGAAUGGAAAGGAAGGAGAAGAAGAAGGAGAUCAAGGAGAAGGCUUUAGCUACCUUCAUCUCUCCUCUCCUCUUCUUUGGUGUAGCUCUUGAGGUAAGCUACAAACCGCUAAUGUAAGGUACCGGGACUUCUAAACUAUUAAGUUACGGUUUACAUUCGAUUGGGAAGCCAUUUGAAUGGUCCCGGUGAAGUUUGAUGAGGUUCGGAGCUAUCGGGUGCUUCGUGCGCGUAGGCGCUAAAACGGACCCGAAAGGCUGAGUUGGGCCGUGAGCUAAAUCCGGCAUUAGCGUGGAUGAAAAGAUGAUGAAAACAUGCUCGAAAACAUAUUUGAAGAGUCUCGGUUCGAUUUGAAACGAAUCGGAGGUCAAACGAGCGAAAACGGGCGAAAACGGAGAAGAAACGGUGAAAAAGGCUGAAAUUUGGCUAAGUCCUUGAGGCUGAGUACUGGACCUUCGGGGACCGGUCUCUCACCGCAAGGACCGGUCUCUCAGGGACCGGUCUCUCACCGCACGGACCGGUCCCCGAGCGCGAAAAUGGCCCCCACGGGGGCAAUGUAAUAAAGUGAAAGUUGAGGGGUUUUUAUGCAUAUUUGGCAUUAUGAGGGUGUAUAGAAGUGGGUUUUAGCCCAUUUCUCUCUUCUCCCUCACCCCAACACCACCUCUCUCUCUCUCUUAACGUGAAGAAGAAGAAGAGGAGAAAGAAGAAGAAAGGAAAAAGAAUGAAGGAGGAGGAGAAGAAGAGAAUCACCACCACUAUCAUCUUCUUCUUCUUCCUCUCAACCUUGGAGCAAACCUAGAGAGGUAAGCUUCUAGGGCUCUAAUGGUAACUUCUUAGGGUUUGGUUUAUACACCCUAAGGAUGGUUUAGAUGCAAUCCUAGCAUGCUAUCUAGAUGAAUGAUACCUAAUUCAUGAAGGUAUUUGGUGGUUUUUGCAAUAGUAGCAUCUAGGGCAUCAAAAAUGGGAUUUUUGUAAAUAGUUGGGUUUGAUCUCAAAUAACACUCUGUAAACCUAAUUGGUAGGUCCACGAACGCAACGGUGCGCUUGGUUUGGCGAUCCGACGAGUGUACGCGGAGAUAUUGAGGAUCGAAGCCGUUAAGGUACAGAUUGCCGCAGCUCGCGGCGAAGGCUUCCUAAAAUCAUGGAAAUGGAAUCGUAGCAUCGUGGUGUCGUGGAAUAAACUCCAGAAUAGACGGAUCGCGGAUUGGUGGCCGUUCGGGUGGUCGCGCAAGAGUUCGAGCCGAACCAGGUCACGGGUGCCGCGGGAGGCCGAUUGCAAGUGUCGACGAGCAAUCGGAACGCGAAUUAAGGUUGGUUGUGUUUACCGAAGCGACUAGGUCGCCCUUUAUGUCCAAGAUGAUUAAGAAUCCAUGUUGAUGCAUAUGAAUGUAAAUGAGGCAUAUAGAUGUUGCAUAUAAAUGUAAAUAAUGCAUGUUAAUAAUAUGAUGCAAAUGCUAAGUAGAUCCAUGUAAAAUGAUAUGUAUGUGUGUAUUGGAAUAUAUGCUAGUUGCACUUAGCAUUGUGAGUUCAUGCUAGAUAGUAAAUGCAUAUUGGCAUCAUAGAAUGUAUGCGAGAUGAAAUGUGGAUAUCUAUAGUACUCGUUAUGACAAAUAGGAUAUCAAGUAGAUCGAGUGGCAUUAACCUAGUGUUAAUAAACAUAGGUCGGACCUAGAUGACAUUGAACCUAGUGUUGUUGAACCUAGGAUAAAUAACGAGUGGCAUCUAACCUAGUGUUAAAGAACAUAGGUUGAGU